rnacentral:lncRNA from 1 species
UCUCAUUCGUCCUUUACUUUUACAUCCUUGAGCCAUUGUGAUACGUCACCUUCUUGGUUAAAUGGCGGCCAUUUAAUUUGAGAUGUUUUGGCUACACUACAAAUUAAAGUAACAUGCAAGGCCUACAUUUUUUUUUUUUUUUUUGUUUUUAAGCUAGAGGCAGCUUCCCUUUCCCUCUAUUGUGCAUGCUUCAACAAGUCCUUCAAUUGCAGCCCCUCAUAUGGGCAUUUGGUCCUACAAAUUUCCAAAUAUGCAACUUCCAAGAAAAUGACUUCCCUCCCCUGUGAUUAAAAUCCUCAUUCCAAGUCCAAAAUAGCUAAUAUAUAUCUUAUACAAACUUAGGUGUACAUAUGCCAUUGGGUUCAAAGGCAGAAUGACUCAUGAAUGUGAACUGAAAGAUAUGGCAAGAUAGAAAGCAGGAUUAGAUUUUAACUGUUGGCCACUUUGUCUUUUCAUAGUAAUCAUGUCGACACUCUAAAGUUUGUCGCUAAAUGUUGUUCGAAUCCAACGGUUUUGACUUCAUUUUUGCUUGAUUCGAGUAACUAUGAGAAUAUUUUACUUUCUUGCCAUACCCAGCGGUGAUCCAAAGUGGCUGAUGCAACGGGUUCGAAGGCUUUAGUUAGCAGAUAAUAAUCCUUAGAUAUUUUCACAAUUUUAGUUUUAAAUAUCUGCACAUAAAUUUUCAUGGAUCAAUUGGUCACCGUAACUUAGUUACAACCUCUGAAAAGUCGCCGUUAAUAAUGGAAAUCAAGCCAAACCUAUUUUAAUUAAUUACACCGCCUUUUCUGAUCAACUAUAAGCAAUCAAUUCUCUCCUUGCCGAUACCGGCGUUGCUUCAAAGGACUUGACGGCUGGAGUUCGAUCCGGCGUGGCGGGAAGCCGCGACGUGAAGUUGAUAAUUGGAAGCUCGUUGGCUCGGUUCGACUCAUCCUCGAAAUUCAGCGCGUAGCUCAAGGGGUCGUAACUGAAAUCCGACGAGUUGCAGUGCUUGCGCCCUCCUUUUCCGAUUCUGGUGAUUAGGUUUUUGCACUUUUCCUUUAUGUAAGGCGAUCUCGGCGUCCUUGACUUCACCUCCUCCAACUCCUCCACGGCGACAGCGCCUUCGAUAUAUGGCGUCGAACGAAAGCAGCAGAUCGAGGAUUUCAUCUUCUCCUUGAUUCUCUCCCUUGGCGAUAGAAAAUUGCAGCUAUCGUUGUACAUUCUGGUCUUCGAUCGAAAAAAACAAAUAUUUUUUGUUUUUUUUGUGAUUUGGUUUUCUAGGUGUUGAUGGGAAACAAUAGGCAAGGGAGUUUGGAGUAUAUAUAGGUUGAGGAAAAAAUAUGAAAAAAAACGGAUAAGAGCGCGUGCUUGGUAGCGAGUAUACAGAAAGCCGGUUAGCUGGGGGAGUGGCUAAAAAACCGUGGGAGGUGCCUGUGCUAAUGGUUUUUGUUAGACCUUAAACCAACGUGAAGUUUUUUUUGGGUAAUUCGGUAAUGAAGUAAUACAAAAGCAACUUACUUUCAAAAUGAGAGCCAUAAAUAUACUUUUUUUUUGUUUCAGACUAUCAAUUUUAGGGAGUGUUUGUUACAAUUUAGGAAAGAGAUUAUUUAUUAUAAAAGCGGAAAUUAAAUGUUUGAUUUUUAAAUUUGAAAAAUUUUAAUUUAUGUAAAAAAAUAAAUUUUAUUUUUAGACGAAAUUAUAAAUUAAAAUUUUUUAAAGAGUGUUAAUUUUAAGAAUAAAUAUUUAAUCAAAUUUUUUUGUAUUUUCACUUUACUUCUUAAUAAUUUCCAAAAAUUGUAAGAAUUGAUUAUAUUAUUUCAUUUUUUUAAUUCUGUCCAAUUUUUUAUUUCAUUUAUUUAUUUUUAGUAUAAUUAAUAAAAAUAUAUCUUUAUUUUAUGUAUUUUUCAUUUAAAAAUUUAUGGUUUAAUUUAAUAAAAUUGAUGAUUUUAUUUUUUUAUUUAUUAAAAAUAUACACAAAUACUAUCAAAUAAUUUUUUAAUAUUCUACAGUACUUUUACAUUAAAUUUAUUAAACACUAUUUUAAUCACAAUACUUUUAAAACAACUUUAUUCUAACAGUAUUUUUUUAAAAUAAAGUUUCGAUGGUCAAAUAGACCCUAACCAAUGAAUAUUGAUCAUGUGCUGAAAUUAAACAAAUUGUCAUUAGCUCAACAAUUUUUUUAAAUAAAGAAGAUUCUUAAAAAAAUUUUAAAAAAAUGCAAUUGUUAGGAUAAAAUCUUAGUGAAAAUCCACUUCCUAACUUAUAUGAUGAUUAAUUUCUAAUAAAAUGGCAUGUGAAUAGCCAACAAGCGUUGGGUUAACUUUUGAAAGUCAUAUGUGCCCUUAUGCCUUGGAUUGACCUUGGGCUCAGUAUGCUUAAGUGGUAGAAAGAGAGUGUGAUUAAUGGUUUUGCAAAAGGGGUCAAAAUAGGAGCAGCUGCUUUUGAUUAUUUAUAUAUAUUUUCGGUUAACGUUAAGGAUGCAGUGCGUGGACCAUGAACUUUUACUCUUUUUUAGUUCUUUGAUGCAGCAAGAUAAUUAUUAAAAUGAAAGGUGAAUGGAUUUGGCCUUUUGGGUUUCGGUGGCAGUACCGCGUCAAUUUAGGAGUCACGAGUUAAGAUGUGAAACGUGGCGUACCCAUUGUCGGCAACAGUAUCGAGGUCUUGUUGCACGGACCAUGUGCCCGCCGCUCAACGCUGCCAUCUCUUUCAUUUUUUUUUUUUGGGGCAUAUGACUGCUUCCAUUUCCUCCGUGCUUGUGCAUUGUAGUCAAGGAUGGAAAUAAUAUAUUAAUAUUUAUAAAUUAUUUAAAUUUAAUUUAAAUAAAAUUUAAAUUUGAUUUAUUUAUUAUUGAAUUGAAUUUGAAUUAUUUUAUUUAUUAAUUGAAUCAAAUUUAAAUAUUUUUUAUAUUUUAUUUUAAUAAUUUAUGAAUUUAAUUAAAUUUUUAUAUUUAAAUAUAUUUUUAUUAUUUUAAUUAAUAAAAUAUUUUAAAUUUAAGUUCUAACGUAAUAAUUAAAUUUUUAUAUAAUAUAAGAAUUAAUAUUAUUUUUACAUAUUAAUUAUAUUUAAUCAAAUGAAUUUAAAUAAUUUAAUUUUUAUUUCAAAUUUAACUUAAAUUUAAAAAAUAAAAUUUGAUUAAAUUUCAUUCGAAUUUUAAAUUUUAAAUUUUAAAUCGAACUCAAAUUUAAUAUUAUAUUAAUUAAAAUUUAAUUGAUUAAAUCUUUAAUACGAUGAAAAUUAUAGUGGUUAGCCGGUUAUUAUAUAGUACUACUAGUUAAGAGAUUAGCGAGCAACAGCCAAGAGCCACCAGGGUUAGUUUAUCUUAAGAGAGAAAUCGAACAAACAGCCAAACUCCACUUAGUACAGUAGAAGUAGUAGUGGUAACCGUAUAUGUGACACUGUGCUUAUUUAAAGGUGGUGAUGGCAAGCUUUAGUGUUCUGAGAACGCUUAGGUUUGUAGAGGAGGCCCCUGGGCCACGGCCUGUAACGGCUAUGAGAAGAGGUUACAUGAGACAAGAUUCAUUUGGAUCCCUUGCAGAUGACGGCCGUCUACAUGCAUAAACCAAUUAUUGAAUAUUGCUAAUUUAUGAUGAGACAAUGGGCCCAAAAAUAAGCCUCUAAAGUCUUAACAACCAUACUGGAGCCCAUCUAACUGCAGGCCCAACAAUUUGCAGAAAGCGGCCCAACGCAAGUUUAUAUCACAAAACCAGACGAAGACUUUGCAAAGGUUAGACGCCUCUGGUGGAGUCUGGACGCUCCCUGAAACAAACUGCUACUGUCUACAACAAAAAAAACCUCCCAAAAAUCUCCGCUUGUCGAUCCGUCAGCUUCCAUGGUAUGCUUCUCUAUCACUCUUCUUUCUCCAUUAGUAAUUCCUUAAACUCUCUCCGUUAAUCUGUUUCCUUUUCUUUCCUUUCUUUUAUGGCAGGAGGCCGAACCGCAGCAGCCGGUGGAGCAAUCAGUAUCUCUUCAAGAUUGCAUGAAGCUACUAAAAGGCGAGAGAGACGAGCAACGACUCGCUGGACUUCUUCUUGUUACGAAAUUCUGUAAAAGUGACGAUCUUGUUUCGCUUAGGGCUAUCUACGACGCCGUUGGACCUCGCUUUUUGGACCGUCUCUUAAGGACCGGUAUUUUUACUUUAUCUUACACUGCAAUUCGAAUUUAUCCUUCAAUUUACAUUUUUUAUUUGAAAUAUAUAUUUAUUUUUCUUCGGUUAAAAAGGGUUGGGUAAAGGUGUGGUGAGUAGCGGUUGCAGUGAAAAUCGGGAUGCGUAUUUGCAGCUAUCGGUUACGGUUCUAUCUGCAUUUUGUCGAGUUUCUGAGAUCGCUUCUUCAGAAGAAAUGGUUUCCAAGAUUCCAAUGAUUAUUGAAGUAAUGUCAAAGGAGUAAGCUUUUUACUUAUCCUUAUUUCUUUAGAAACAAGGAAUAGAUGCUACGAAUUAUAGCUUUGACUUAGUUGACUUUUGAUUUUAGAUUUGCUUGUUCUACUUAGUUUUUUAUAAUUCAGAACAGAACUAUCCAUUUCUAUGUUCUUAGUUUUAUAUAUAUAUAUAUAUAUAUAUAUAUAUAUUAUAUGUUGAAUGCAGAUCGGGGUUAGCUGUGCUGGAAGAAUGCUAUGAAUUUUUAUACUUGGUGUCAGCUGCUUCCAAGGAUGGACUUACAGCAUUGUAUGAGUCUGGAGGGAUGAAGUUACUCGCUCAUCAAAUGUCCACUCUGCCAGAUGGUAGCUAAUCUUAGACUACAACAAUUUCUAGAUUUUGGCAUUUCUAGGAUCCUUAUAUUAUGCAGUCUAACUCAUGUAUAUCUGUAAGCUUUAAGUUUGGAGGGAAUUUGUUGUUUUCUAUAGUGUUUUUGUGCCUAACUUUUUGGGAACCAACAAUAUUUAGUUAUGUGGUGUGUAUGGAUUUGUGAGUUGAGUUAGACAGUGUAUGCAGAAAAGUGAUAGUAUGUAAACUUGUCUUAGGGUCUCAUUUGAUGGAACUUGCCAUGAAGCUUGUCCAAUUGAUCCUAAGAAAGCUGUCUCAAGGCAUCAUUGAGAAUGACCAUCUCUCAGAGCUGUCAGUUAUUGUAAGUCUAGAUGUUCUGUAGCCAUUAAGUUUUUGUUCUCAAUCACUAAUUCAAAAAGAUUAAACUUUGACAAAUUUCAUCAUUUCCCUUGUAAUUUAGGUAGCCGCAAUAGCAAGACAAUUUGCUCUCCUACAAAAUGCCAUGAAGUUUGAAGCACUUCACUUAUUGUCUGCCAUCUUCUCUUCAGAAUUUUCAGUAUGCUUUUUUACCCCGAUUGCUGUCCUCCUGGGAAGUUAUUGCUUGGGUUGGUUAAUUCUUAAUAACCUUCUUAAUUAUUCACAUUGUCUUAAAUUAUAUAUGAUUCAGUUUCACUAAAAUAUUGGGCAUAUUUAUCUAUUAAGUUAUGCCUGACACAGGAACUCUUUUUGACGUUAUCUGUCUUGGAUUUUGUUUUGAAAAUGUGGAAAUUAUUUUUAAAAAUAUUCCGAGUCAGUUCUUAAGAAAUAUUCUCAGUAAUUGGAAUGUUGGACACUUCUUAUAGUCUGAACAAUGAAUAUCUUUCUUGCAUCUGGAAAUACAUCUUCAUUGAAUUCUUUAACUUUUGCCUGCCAUGUUCUUUUCCCUUUUGUGCUUUAUGCUUAAUAAUCUUCUUAAAUAUUCAGAUCGUUUUAAAUUAUAUAUGAUUCAGUUUCACUAAAGUAUUGGGCACAUUUAUCUAUUAAGUUAUGCCUGACACUGAAACUCUUUUUGAUGUUAUGUGUCUUGGAUUUUGUUUUGAAAAUGUGGAAAUUAUUUUUAAAAAUAUUCCAAGUCAGUUCUUAAGAAAUAUUCUCAAUAAUUGGAAUGUUGGACACUUCUUAUAGUCUGAACAAUAAAUAUCUCUCUUGCAACUGGAAAUACAUCUUCAUUGAAUUCUUUAACUUUUGCAUGCCAUGUUAUUUUCCCGCUUGUUCAAAUCAUCAUGAUCAAUCUUCAAUUUGAUAUUCAUUGACAUGAAGAGUUUAUGCUAGUAUACUACCUAACUUUGACUGAUGAGAUUUACACUCGAUACUUUUAGAUAUCACUUCAUGAUGCUUUCCGUGUGAUUCAAAAUGAGAACUGGUCAAACCAUAUACGUGAUGGUGUUGCAGCAAUUUUACAGAACCGUGUAGGUAUGUUGAACUGAACAUUUUCAAUCUUACUGCCAGUUUAUUUAGUUCAUACUAGACUAGAGUCAUUAUUUGAAAUGCAUGAUGUGCUCUUCUUUGUAAACUUCCAUCUUGUAGAGCAAAACUUUCAGUUUUAAUAUUGAAGCUUACUGAUGUUUAUAUUUUUUAUUUUGACCCAUAGCACCUGCUGAAAAGUUUGAGGCCCUUAUUCUUGCUGAAUCUAUGGUAUCCAUAAUGGGUGAAGGUUGGCUGAUUUGUCAGAUAAAGUUGCCUAACGUACAAGAUCCUAUUCCAGCUGACAGGUAAGGGAUGCUUGUUAAAUUUUUGUGAUUCCGCUUGGGCUACUUUAAUUGGCUGGGCUACAUGGUUCAUUAUUUGUAGAUUUAUUUCUCAGGUGUUUAUUGCUUGUCUUAGAGUCAUCAAGGGUUGAAGUUGCUGUUUUGCUGAAUGAGCUAGCCUACUCAAAAUAUGAAGCUUCUAAGAGUUCUUCAUCAACAGCCGAGACUAUUAUUUCAAAGCAACAGAAAGUGACUAUUGUCUUUUCCUUGGUGGAGAAGAUAAUAAAAUUGAUAUCAAACAUUGGUGAAACUGAAGGUAGGUUAACAAUUCCUAGAUUUACUAACCUGUGCUACAUUGCUUAUUGAUACAGUUUUGCUUUUGCUGCCUUUGUAACAGACAUGAUUUAGAUAAGUUUAUGGCUAUAUUUAAAUUUAGUUUUUUGUUCAGUUUAUUGCAAGGGAGCUCUUUAUUUCUGGUAUGUAUUCUGGAAACUGUUUGUUUAAGAAAUUUAAUAUUCUUCAGGAAAUUUAUUCAUAGGGCACCUUAUUAAUGAAAGUACUUUCACAAAGGUGAUCAAGGGGCUAAAUGAGACAAUUGACGUGGUUCUAGAGUAUCUACAAGAUGCAAAGGUAUGGCUAGAAAUAUUAUAUUAAAUAUUUCUUCACCUCUUUUAUUCACAGUCAAAAUUCUGCAGGAACAUGCCCUAAAACGAGGAAAUGAUCUUCUUGCUUCGGUACGUCUUGUUGGGAGGUAUGUUAGAUGCCGUCUCAUUCAGAGUAUUUGUUCCCUUUCUUUUUAUAUAUAUGCAGGCAUGCUUGAAAAAUAUAAACACUGGAAGUUGAUUUUUUGCACCAAUGGUGAGGUUUUCAGUGAGCUGAUAUUUUUGUUUAUUUCAGCUAUCUUGCAGAAACACCCAUUGCAUGCGAAGAUAAAAUCAAUGAAUUGUUGGGGUUUAUGCUUUCAGUUGAAGGUGAAGAUGAAUCCAGGUAUGGCAAGUUAACUUUGUAGCUCGUUGAUGAACUGAUGCCUAUAUCUUUUGUUUUAGUUGUUGCAUUUCUAAACUAACUUUGCUAAUUAACUUUGUUAUAGCCCUUUUUACUCGGUAUGCUUUCUGCUCCCGAUGUUAUGUCAAAUGACAAUGAAGAUUGAAGGAUGCAAACUUUUGGCUUCUUCUGGAGGGUAUAAAGCUGUAAGUAUAUAUUCAUUGAAAGCAUCCAUCUUGUUGAUAGUUGAUACCAAUGCAACUUUAUAGGGUAUUGUUGAAUAUAUCAAGCCUAUCCUUCUGAUAGAUGUGCAGAUCUUUUUAUACAUUUAACAUAUGUGCAUCUUUUUCUAGUCUUUUCAAGAACAGUAGAGUAGAUGCUGUGUAUAAAGUGACAUUUCAAAGUGUUAUUUCUAUAUGUACUGUAUUCCUAUUUAUAUGAAAUUUAAGUUAAUACUAAACUGUUAUCAACCCAACCAACACAUGCUUGUGUGUAUAUACACAAUUUGAUGUCUGUCUCACCUUCAUAGCACCAUUUACUAGGCACUAUGUUUCAAGUACUUAUAUAAUUUAUGGAGGUUUCUAUGUGCACUAAUAUUGUCAUACCAUAGUGUAACUGUAGCUUUUUAUUGUUUUAUAUAUGAAAGUAUUGGUGUUAUUGCAGGUUGUGGACUGCCUCAUAAAGUUGAUUGGGCAAAACAAACAUGGGGUUGAGGAUAAUGGUUGCAUUUUCUUGGCAUGUGAUACAAUCAUGAAUUUUCUUUUAAAGGUGGUGGUUGUUAUCAUAUUGUCAUAAAAUAGUAAUUAUUUAUGUAAUGUAUUGACUCCUAUUGUAAUAUCAACAGAGAGAGCAAUUUCGCUUUCCAGAGGAUGAAUCAACAUUUCUUAAUCUUUUGAAAGCAUUGGCUCUUUGGACAGGUACUAGUUCUGUCAUUGCUUGGAGCCAAAAUUCAUUUGAAUUGUUUUUACAAAAUGUUAUCUCAUCAAAAUGAAACUACUAGGGAAAGUGAUGACAGAUAAGAUUGGAUUACAGAGUCUACUGCUUGUGGAGUAACAUUUUCUUAUGUUUAAAUUUCAGCAUAGAAUUUGAUAGAAUAGCAUUCGGUGUUAUCUCAUCUAACUUGUGCUCUAGCUUUCCCUGUGUUCACACGCUUUUUCUAAGCAUGUAUACAUCAUAAAGAUUUCCUGAAUUUGGUUGCAGAGAACACUAAUGACCUAUCUGUUGUCAUGAUGGCUUCAAGCAUUUGCGCACUAGUAUUUGAUCUUACAUCCGAAGAUGCUCUUUUGAAUCAUACUGAUUUUAGUAGCAGCUGUCUUGAUAUUCUAUCACGGCUCAUUACAAGAAGUUUGGCUUCAUGGGGGCAGGUAAAUACUGGUGCUUGCUAUAUAUGUUUAUUUGCUAAUUUAUUUUACAAGUUGUGGAACUAAAACUUAGAUGUCUCUUCAUUGUAGCAUAUGUCUGAUGUUGCUAAAGAAGAGAUGGAUCUUCUAGAGAUUGUUACUGCAGGUUGGUUUAAUAAUUUUAGUAGCUUUAACUAUUCUCUUUUCCAAAUUUAAGUAGAUUUUGUUUUUAAUUGUAUACAGUGUAAUUACUUUAACAUUUUUUUGGAACUGGCAUUAUGAUAUGCUGUGUUUGGAUCCUGAUGCAGGAUAUUCAAGAUGGGCUAAUCGAUUCCCUCAAAUAAGAAAGGCAGUUGAGAGAUAACCUAAAGGGAAGUAAGAGUUGACCUUGUUAUUACUUACUUUCAUUGGAGGUGAUACUAGGUAACUUUCUUUUUAAGGAAAAUCCUCCAAUUUGUUAAAGCCAAUUCUGCGGAGUUUACAUGUUAUCUUGGUUAUUCUAUUGAAUCAGUUAGUGUAACAUGGUUAGCCUUGAAAGAAGUUCGUAUGUCAUGGCUCUGUCCCUUGGAAUUACUAAUUUAAUGUUAACUUGAUGAGGAAUUUGGUUAUGGAACUUGCUUUGUCCCCCUCUGCCUGCCUCUUUUUUUUUGGGUUGUUUCUCCUGGUAAUUCUAAGGCAAUUGAAUAAUUGGCGUCCAUGGAUCCUUUACCCUGAUACCAUGCGCCUUUGAUGACACAACGGAUGAGAAGCACGCGAGAAGUACAGCAGGGAAUGUUUCUUCUUUUUUUUUUUGUUCUGGUAAUCCUAUUUCGUCAAGAGUAAGACAGCUUGUUGAUGAAUGAUGAGUUGAUGAUCUACUUUUUAGUUAGCUUCACAGCAGUCAGAAACCCGCGUCUCCAUGAAUUGAGUAGAGAAUCCAAACCUGGACGCAAGGGCAGUGGAUUGUAAGCAUAGCAAGUGAUUUUCUUUGUAAUCAUAGCAAGUGAUUGUCUUUAUUUAGUCUGUUUUGAAUAAUCGCUUGUCCUUACGUAUUAUACUAAUAAAUUAUCCACUUUCAUUGUGUAUUCGGCGGCAUAAUUUCCUGUUUACAUUUACUAUGAAUUUAUGCGUAAUACUAGCCAGAUGGGAAUUCGAUUCCUUAUUUUUGGAGGUUGGCAUGUGAAGCAGUGAUUCCUCUGCUAAAGCCUGGCGCUGCAUAUUGGCCAAUUUAAAAACAGGUUGACCACAGGUUAUUGCCAAGCACGACCAAAUCUCAGUGAAUUAUUACUUUUAACAUGGUCCAUUGUGUGCCAUGAUAAAUAAAAACAGCUUAAGCUUUUAUCAAGGAACAACAUUAGACACGACAAAAGAUUAAAGCAGUAGCAUAACUCAAUAAAGUAUUACUGCAAGCAAGUACUUAGUUAAAAAAAAAAAAAAACAAUUUAAAAAUUAGAAGCAACGUGAGCUUAACCAUAUAAGAAGCCACAACUUUUCUUCUACUGCUCAGCCGUCUGUCAAUAGUCAACACCAGGACUUUCUUCAUCCACUCCCCAGCGACAGCCUGUCACCUCACUUUCCCAAAUAUAGCCACCGCUACCGCUCUAGGCGGCUUCCGCCAGUACUUUCAGCGGUUCCUCCACUUACCCAAACUGUCCCUCACCAAGUUCCAUAAAUUAAAAAGAGAGAGAGAGAGAGCUCUUAAAGCAUAGAGUGAAAAUGGGGUGUGGCAAUGCCUUCUACACCUUAAUCAUAACUUUCUCAGUAGCUCUAAUCACCUACAACAUCCUCAUCUCAGCCAAUGCUCCUCUAAAGCAAGAGCUUCCAGGCCCUUCGAGAUCAUCAAUUGUUGACCCCAUAAUCAAGAUGCCAUUAGAAAGAUCAAGAAGAUAUGGGUCAACUGCAAAGAAUAGGUUGUUUCACACGGCUGUAACAGCUUCAGACUCUGUUUACAACACUUGGCAGUGUCGAAUUAUGUACUACUGGUUCAAGAAGCAUAAGAAUGGACCAAAUUCAGAUAUGGGUGGGUUUACUAGGAUCUUGCACUCCGGUAAACCUGACAAGUAUAUGGAUGAGAUUCCCACUUUCAUUGCUCAACCUUUACCAGCUGGAAUGGAUCAGGUAUUUCUUUUUUCUUUUGAGCUGCUUAGUUCAUAUUUAAAUUAGGCAGAAAAAGGAAACUACUUUGGUUAGACUAUAAUAAGUUGAAUAUUAUUCAAUUUAAAGAUAACUUCCAAUUAGUACUUUUCCUGAAAAAGCAUCAAAUCUGGGAUUUGGAUCAGGUUAUUCUUAUUGAAUGGAUUUAUAAAUUUCUGCUAUGGCGGUUGAGCAUUAAUUGAGAAGUAUUUCCAUCCUUAUAUUGCAAAAGAACCAAUAACAGUAUCUAUUUUCUUGAUAUCUACCUUUGUAAAAAGUAUCCUAAGCUUAUGACUAUAUCAUUUAGCUAGAAACAAUGUAAACUAGUAAGUUUUCAAGGUUGAUGAGUCUCUUUCUGUCUAUUUACUUCUUUCUGUACUUUUAUGUUAAUCACAGGGAUAUAUAGUCCUCAACAGACCGUGGGCAUUUGUGCAGUGGCUUCAAAAAGCAGACAUAAAAGAAGAGUAUGAGAUUCCUGAUUUCCUUAUUUCUGUCUUGAGUCAAUUUGUCUCCAUAUUUCGGUUGAUUUUAUGUAUCCCAUCUUUACUAUGUAUCCAGUUACAUACUAAUGGCAGAGCCGGACCAUAUCAUUGUCAAGCCUAUACCGAACUUAUCAAAAGAUGGGCUUGGAGCUGCAUUUCCUUUCUUUUAUAUAGAACCUAGAAAGUAUGAGUCUGUUCUGAGAAAGUUCUUCCCUAAGGACAAGGGUCCAAUAACUAACAUUGACCCCAUAGGAAAUUCUCCUGUCAUUGUUGGGAAGGUAUGUAUUUUGGUGUUGCUUAGUUACUAUAGCUGCAAUCCCUUUCAGUUUUGUCUUCUCUUGAUCUUUCAUUGAACAUUAUUUAGGAUUCUCUCAAAAAAAUUGCUCCCACCUGGAUGAAUGUCUCAUUGGCAAUGAAGAAAGAUCCUGAAGCAGAUAAAGCUUUUGGUUGGGUACUUGAGAUGUGAGUAUUAUCCAAUUUACUCCAUACUUGCAACCAUGUUGCAUUAGCUGUUGACCUAAACUUUGUUUCUUGUUUCAUAAUUGUAGGUAUGCUUAUGCUGUUUCCUCUGCCUUUCAUGGUGUUGGUAACAUCCUGUACAAAGAUUUCAUGAUCCAGGUUUGAUUAGAAUUUUCAGUCAUUCUUUCCCAUAAUAUCUUCUUCACAUAAUUCAAGAUGCCAACUCUAUCCUCCUGAUAACUGUAGCUAGCAUUUUCAACCAUUUACUGCUAUCUGGUACCUGCCUAAACACUGGGGAUGAGCAUUUUUUAGGACCUACCUAUGAUAUGUUUCUAAGAGCAAGCCAAGUUGAACGCUUGGAUAAGCAUUGUUAUUUGUUAGCGAAACAGAUUGGAAUUUUGCAACUUGUCUAUGUUUUUUAAUCUUAAUCUGCAGUUAGUCAAUAGCGACUUUUCUCGUUCUUCACACUUUUGUUUAUAAUAUUCCUGAAUUGUGAUUAAUUUGAGAAAAAGGCUACAUAAUGUCCUGCCUUUCCAAACUCCCUCCCCCAAAAGAUUUAAAUAUCUUUUACAUAUAAUUGAUGUGAAAUUUGAAUUUUCAGUAUGCCAUUUAUUUCCUGAAUUCUCCUAACUAGCACUUGCCUGUUUUGUGACAUUUAUCAGCCUCCUUGGGAUACAGAAAUUGGUAACAAAUUCCUUAUUCAUUAUACAUAUGGGUGUGACUAUGAUUUGAAGGUAAUCUAUUGUACUGAAAUCUCAAUCAUUUAGUUUAAGAAAAAUGCUACUGAAUUAUAACCUUUUUAACUAAUUGUUACCCCACGUAUCUGUUUCUGAAUUGGAAGAAAAAAGACAUCUUCUUUUGCUUAUAGUGGGAAAAUUUCUGCGUCAUUUCAGGGUAGGUUAACCUAUGGGAAAAUUGGAGAAUGGAGGUUUGACAAAAGAUCUUUCAGUAGUGUAGCACCGCCAAGAAACCUUCCCCUGCCUCCUCCUGGUGUUCCACAAAGUGUGGUACGUUUUAACAUGUAUCCUUUUCUAUAGCACAUACGCAAAGCAAAAAGGGAAUAUCUUUACAAACGUGAAACUAUAGUUAGCCCAGGAAUUGAAAUUGUGGUUCUUGGGAGUAAAGUCGUGGUUACCAUGUAAACUCAUUGUCUCCUCCUACUUUGUAGAAUGUUUCCAAUCAAAUACACUGUAUUUGUGGCAGGUAACUCUGGUGAAAAUGGUAAAUGAAGCCACAUCAAACAUUCCAAAUUGGGGGUCAUAGAAGAAAGGAUAGGCUGCAACUGCAAGAUGCUGUACGCCAACAAGCUCCAUUCAAUUGUCAGCAUGGACGCUUAAAACACGUACUGGUUUGGGUAAAAAGUAGAAGGGGAGGGAGGGGGGGAGGGUGUGGGUGUGGGUGUUUGGUUAUAUAUUUGUGUUUAUUAUGCUAAUUAAAAAUGGGACAUGACAUACCCUGAUGAAUGAUGAUGGGCAGAGGGAGAAAAAAUAAAUUAUAUACAUAAUGUAAUCAGAGUCUGAUCCCAAAUGCUUGUUGCUCUGCAAAUAAACAAAAACACAUUACUAUUAUGUUUGUAACUUUCGCUUUUGAUAAGAAUUGGCGUUCUCAGUGAUUUCUCCUCAGAUUCUUUAAUGAAAAAUGAAGGCGAAUCUUGUUGCUUUUGUUUCUUGCUUAUCGUGUUCUGAUCUGCUUUCGAAGGAGUUUAACCUACGGAAACAAUUAAGAGUGGAGGAGCAUUUAUAAAAGCGCACUUUAUUGGAACUUGCUGCAUGGAAAAAGCAUUGAUUCAUUUCAUUUCCUAGCUGUUUGGUAGAUUACUUCGUCCGUGGAUGACCGUUUUUUUUUUCCUAAACAUUUUUCCAAAAGGAUAUUAGUUGAAAACUUAUCAAAUUGUAUGUUAACUUUCAAAAAAUUAUUUCCUAUUAUUGUUACUUUGAAUAAUUUUAAAUCUCAAAUAAAAUACAAUAUCGAUCGCGAAUCACUAAUAACCAUUUUAAAAUGGAAAACCAUGUCAAUAUUGAUCAUUUUAUCUUUUACUAUAUAAAUGGAAAACUUUUGUUAAGUAGAAAUUAAUGCGUUUAAAAAAUAAUAAAAAUAUUUAUCUAUUUCGAUUUUUAGAUUAAAAAAAAAAAAAAGAAAAAUUUACAUCCACGGCAACAUGUUACAUGGGGGCCAGCCAUUACUAGUUCAUAUUUAAAGCGCAAAGGGGACAAAAUUUGACAACCCAUUUGAGAUUGCAAGUAGAACAACAAAAAAUUAAGUAACAUGUCUGCAAAUACAAUCAGUUGAGGUAACGCCUACAAUUUGUAGAAUUACAAAAGCAAGGUAUUUUCUUACCUUCAUCCUCAUGGUUAAAAUGGUAGUCAUAUGUUAUCUCUUCUCCUGGAUAUAUGUCUCUCUCUGCAAAAAACACAACCUGCCAGCCAACACCACCAACAAUAUCUAAGCCAAUGCCAUUGCAAUUCCCAGACUUUUUAAGACAACCUAAAAUGUAUUGAACAACUCUAUGCCACAAGGAAGGUUAUACUUAUAACCUGGUAAAUAAGUUGAUGAAAGCACGAAAUCUUAUCCUCAUAGGGAUAAAUUUUAAGGAAAAAAAAAAUCUUUAGUUUCAGGAAAUUACUCUUGACCCACAUAGGCGUUUAACAUGUUAAAUGGUAAAAACAUACUGUGCAUAUAGAAUAAGUUGAUGUCAAAAUCUUAUAGCAGAUACGGAGUAUGGAAAUUCAAUUUGGAAUUACCUUCUUUUCAUUCCUCACAGAAAUCACUUUGGCAACACAAUUCGGCUGUCAAGGAAAUUGAGCAUGAAGUGAGAAACCUAGAUAAAGCUGAAUGAUGGUAGAAAAAAGAAAAACUUGAGAAAAUAUCCUGUAAGCCCAAGUUCCAUAGGGGUGACCAGAAAAAGAAAUAAUUAUAAUAUCAUAUAUAGCUAAUGACUUAUCAAACUCUAAUGGUUUGUUUUGAAUAGUUUUUGAGUAAGUACAAUUCCACAAGGUCCAGUGCAUCUAUUUUUGACAUUCCAUAGCCUUCCAUUAUGGUUCCAUCAUGAAAGUGACCCAAGGUAUAUAUAUUAUCAUGUUGAUUUACUACAUUUCAACUUUUCAUCAUUCAAAUUGAUUUAAAGUCAUAUGGGAAGAUCCAUUAAAACUAUAACAUAGUUGCAGCCCCCAAGGUCAGGUUAAGUUUGAUAACCAAUGAGGGGGUCUUGGUAAAAUUUACCCCAAGAAAUCCAAAAUCAAUCCCCUUAAAUUCAAGAAAAAAUGUCCCAUGUUGCAACACAAUAUAAGCCCUCUAUCUCCCCUGACCAUUGUCCCCACCACCUAAAAGAACAAAUUUUAAACAAAUUUAAGUAUAAUUCUAGGAAAGAUAAUUACCAGACAUGAAUGGUUGACAAAACGGGCAAUCCCUCCCUUGCGAGUAGCAUCAAUGAUAUGCUCUUUAUCUAUCCUGAAGAAGUAGCAUGCACUUUUGUACUGAACUUUUCUGCCAGACUGAUACUCAUUUUCUCUUUUGUCAGCCACACGUUGCCCCACAAUCUCGCCAACAUACUCAACCACCUAAGAGAACCAUGACCAAUGUCAUAUUUUCCAAUUAUUAAGAAAAUUAGGUUGUUGUGACUUGAGGGGCAAGAAGGGCAAACCAUUUCACCACGGGAAAUGAAUCGAGAUGUAUAAAGACCAAGUGCAUGUAUACCAGACUUGUAAACUACCAAAUGCUUCCAACCCUUUGCUUGCUUGUAGCGGGCAUAUUCUUUCUGCAUGUGAUGUGAAAGGCAGAACACUUAGGCUUACAAGGACUAGUUAUGGACUUAUCGUAUAACCAUCUAAAGAAGUUCCACAAUUAGAAUGCUAGCACAUAGGCAAAAAGUACUAGAAAUAGAUGUCACGGACAUCGGAAGAACCAGAACAUUAUCCUUCCAAUGCUUUUAAAGAAAAAUAUGACAGUUCUAACAAGUAGAACCAAAGCAAUUAGAACAAACUGAAUCCAAAUAAAGCAACAGGUAAAUAACAACUUUAAUGUACCCGGCAAUCAUAUUCGAUAUCUGAUGUUGGCAGCUUUGGAAGCCCCUGCAUGCAUGACUUAUGCCCAUUUAUGUGAAUCCAAGCAUUUAACUGCUCUUGAGGAACAAAGCAUCCACUCUUUCUUCUUGAUUGACCAUAGAUAUGCCAAAAGCCAUCUCGUUUGCGGCCUUUGAAACCCUAAAAGAGGUGUCAUUAGAUCACAAUAUGAGUGCACCAGUAAUGAGAUAAGCCACUGAACCUACCCCACUUAGAAAUGGACUAAGUACCUCUGUUCGAGCACAGGUUGAUUCCCCUUCGCUAGGAAAACUCAAUUCAGCACCGGUGGCAUCACUACCAGACUCACAUGUGGGGUCUGAGGCAUGAAGCAUACAUCUUCCAUAGAAACCGACUUUUUCAUUAUCAACCCCUUCAACCUCACUUUGUAAUAGACCCUGGAAACAAUAUAACAAAGAAAGUAAUUAGGAAAGGCAAACUCCCCUUGCGACAAUCAGCAAAACCAUAUUUGUAAUUAGCAAUCUCCCCUUCCACAUUUAAUUGAGAAAACAAAUAGUAGUAAUAACAGGUUUAGGAAAAGCCGUAUGAGACAAGUUAUUACUUAUAAGCAUAACCAAAUUACAACGUUCCAGACAUUAUUUAAGGUUGUGAGGACCAUACAGCCACAUUUAGGGAAACAUUCAUGCUAUUAAUAUAAAAAUGGCAGCAGCAAAGAGGAGAAUAGCAUGGAUUUUCAAUUUUAAGCACAAUGUAGAAAUAGGUGUUGAAGCAAUUGAAUAAUAUAAACAACUUGAGUUAUGUUGCAAUUAACAGUAUAAGCCCAAGUAUUGCUUCAUGAAUUAGUGAGCAGACUCAUAAUUGAAUUGAUGAUGGAAGUCUGGCACACGGCAUACAAUAUAGAAGGGAAAAAAAAUGACUGCUUCAGAAACUGCAGAAUCAAUACCUAAGAUAAAAACUGAUUAUGCAAAUAUUAUAACAGUUAUUGAAUUAAAUUCAGGGUCCUGAGUAGAGACCUUUUGGUGAGCACACCAAGGGUGAAACCGAACUGAACAAUCCACAACCCUGCACUGUAUACAUGAGCCACCUGGUCGAUCACAAAUAGAGCAAACCUGGAAGAAACAAACUUGAUGGUCACUUCAAGGAGCAGUUUAUCCAAAAAUACAAUCAACCUCCUCAAAGGUAAUCAUCAUCAGGUGUUAAAGUAUGCGAGAACCUCUUCUUUUAGCUUUUUCUUUUGCUACAUGAAUCUUAAGACAAUUUUCAACUACAGAACCAAACAAGCAAAGGCAAAUCAAAUAAUUAUCAUUUUUCUUUUGCAGAUUAUCUGCUUCUUUUCAGAUUUAGUUUGCUCUGGUUCGAAAACUUAAACACAAAUCUGGCUAUGUCUAACCAACUUUUUCUUGAGCAUCAUAAAAAGAUUUCGUAUAAAAUGUAAGUUUAUUAAAAUAGUUAGUCCAAAUAGUUAGUCAUAGAUUAUACAUAAUUGCAUAAGUUCUGAGCACAUUGAAAGGCAGUUCAUAAAGCAAAAUACUGUUAAUGCUACCAUACAUCUUUAAGGAGACAAAAAGAAAAAUGAUAUUAAAUGCAGAAAGCUUGAAAGUAUAAAAAAAGUCAUAUUGUACAAAUGGGAUUCACAUAUUAAAGCAUCCUACCAAAUAUGUAAAGAUACAAUCAAGUCUGGGCACAAUAUCACAUCACUCAUAAAGUAACAAACUGUGACGGUUAGAAAUGAAUUCUUCAGGUGAUAAACACAAGCAAAUAAUAUACAGAAGGUGACAAAAAUCAAAUCUAUGUAAAAUUAUUGUUUUAGCAUCCAUAGCAUAGCACAUUUACAAAAAGAUGACACAAAACUUCCAUGGGACAAGCAUUACCAAAGAUGCACAUCAAAUUCGCAAGUGCAGGGUUUUUCAGGGUAUCAUAUAUUUGCUUCAAGUAUUAUUAAACUUACCACAUUCUCAUUUGCAGAUGAAACACCAGAUACAUCAAAAGCACUCAUGGUAUCGACAUUUGGGCAACGUGUUCCAGGAGUCCAGAGCCCACAGACCAUAUGAACCCACUGUUUCACAGUAGAAUCAAGUACCCCUGCUGUUACACUAUUAUACAAAUUUAACUUGCUAACAGGGCGAUGGGAGUUCUGAAUAAUGUCCCAUUGAUUCUGCAAAUCCAUUUUCCAGACAGCAGUUCUUGACAGCCCAAGAUCUUUACAUUGCAAGUUACAAAAUGCAUUACCAACAACCAGACUCUGAUCAUCCAGCAUAGUUUCAGUAGAAUAACUUGUACUCUUGGGCCUACACUUUGAUUCAAUGUUCCAAGCUUUAAAAAGGCCUUUUACAAAUGCACUACUUCGCAAUGCUCGAGUCAUGGCACCACCACCAUAUCCACAGAGAACACAAACCUACAUGAUGAUAAAAAUGUGUGACUAAGACAAUCAGAACCAUAAGACAGAUAUGGACUCAAAAGAAUGUCAGACGAUUAUGCACAUUAAAAAAAUCAAGAAAGACACAUUAAACUCAAAUAAUAAAGAGCAGCAACAAUUAGAAAACCCUCAUAUGAAAAGAGUCAAAAUUUCUUACAAUAUCUUUAGAACUUGUUCUGCAUGGUCUGCAAUACCAGUGGCCCUUUGGUACUUUUGAAACGCCAUAGCAAGCUUGAUGCACCUGUGUAUCAUGAAAACAGAAUUAAUGAAUGGUAAUUUAACAAAUUAGGUACAAACUUGACAUGAGUACAUACUCUGAUUGAACAUUGAUUACACUCCAAUAAGCAAUUAAAUUCAUCUUUGUUUGAGCUUCCACAAACACAGCAGAAUACAUCAGAAUCAACACUGGGUGAGUACCUAGGCUCCUUGAUAUAUCUGCUACAUAAUUUAUAAUUCCAUUGCAGUUAGCCAUAAUUAAAACUCAUCAUUUUGAAGGUGAACAAGUAUCUACCAAAAUUUGUGAAAUUCUCCAUAAAAAAUAAGAAUCAAUUUCCUAGCUUACUUUUCAACAUUAAUGUUGCAUGAUCUACGUGCAUGACAUUCAACGUCACCAGCUUUCUUUAAACCUUUACCCACUUUCAUCUUAGGCAUGCACUUUGGGAUCUCCGUAAGGGGAUAACAGUCAGAACCAGACUCUUUUCCUGACAAUGGAAGGGCGGAAAUCAAUGGUGUAAACCUCAACAAAAUACAACAUCACAAUAAAAAUGUUUGCUAUGCACAUGUUGACGUGUACCAGACUCAUGGUGUCAUGUUCAACUGCAACACAUCACACUAAUGCAUCUUUCCCAUCAAAUGCUUAAGAAGAUUACCUCUUACAGCACAUCCAAGUUUUAGUAAGCACACCAAAUGUAACAUUGGGCAUAUCAUGGUCUAUAGACACCAACUUUAAUAAUGGAGGGAACACUUUAUCACUUCAUCACAUGAGACACAUAGACAGAACAAAUUAUAAACUUGGCCUCUUCAGCUAGAAUUUCAAAUUUUAAGGUGUUUACGUGAUUUUCAACUGUUAGCAAUGACAGGAAAUAACACCUAUCGGGUAUCCACAUACAACAAGGAAAGAAUAGAAGGAUUGCUCAAAUUUCUUUGUAAAUAUAGUAGAAAUGGAGAUCAUAACCAGAGUGAAAAAGCAAGGAGAUAAGGUGAGCAAAAGGAGGAGAGGACAGGAUGGAGGCAUUUGAUAAUUCAUGAAAACUAUACAAAUAAGCUUGUUAACAUGCAUCCAAGUUGAAAUAUACAAAUAAGAGUAGGAAAUGCAAUUGUAAGCCACUACCAUAGGUUGAAAAACUGUAAGUGUAUGCUAAAAGCCGUCUUUUGUGCAUACAGCCCAAAAUAAAUGUAUUAGUUCUAGCCAAAGCUUUGGUCUCCUUGUAAUGCCAUGCAUUAAAAGGCAAAAAUAUUGAAGUUCACAUUCUCAAGACAUAUUUGACUCAAUCCUUAAUAACAUCCAUCAUAUCCUUCCCAUCAAAUAUAGGGAAAAUUUACAUUAUUGGGAUGCAACUACAAUGAAAUUAUUAUUGAAAUUUACCUUUUCCUGUUAGCUCAUAAAGGCUGCGUUUUCGAAUUUCCUUACAUCUUUUGUUUGACCGACUAUAAGCAAUAGCAUCUGGAAUAGAACAAUUUUUCUCACUUCUAUCAUCCUUCCCUUUCUCCAAGAUGAAUGACUUGUUAUCGAAUAGUUUAAAUCCACCCAGACAUGUCUUCUUACCUUCUUCAGCAAGACAGUCACUUACUUCAUGAAAGACUAAAACAUGAUGGCCUGCAUUCUCUUCUUUCUUAAAAUCAGGAGAUAAAUCAAAGUAUGCAGUGCUCCUAGCUGUUCUUUUCUUCUCCGACUUCCUCAGAGUAUUUUUGGGUUUACAGCUCUUUCGAAGGGUACAUUGCUCUGUGUUUUUAAGAAUCCUGCUAAGAGGAACAAUUUUUGCAGGCCUCAAUUCAUCUGUGGCUAACUUUCUGCUGCAUAUUUCACCAUAUUCUCCACAUACUAUAGGCCUAGCUUUCUUAUCACAAACAGUCGCCUCAAGACUCGAAAAUGCCUUUAAACAAUGUACUGCAGGGCUAUUACAAGUUUUUUCAACAGUUGUAAGAGGUUUUGGAGCCCCUAAAUUGUCAAAGGAAUCACAAGCCCAAGCCCUCUUUAAUUUUUUUCUAUCUGAAACUUCACGGGUUUUACCAAACCUGGCAUCACCUUUCGGUUCAGGCUGAUAUUCUUCACCAUCUUGAUCAUUAUACACACCACACAAAUCUCUUUUCUGAGAAACUUUAGCCGAAGCCAAUUCUCCUGGUUGAAUCAAAUGAGUAGGCCCAUGUGGUUUUAACCCUGAUGGAAUGAGGGUAUGCCAAUCUUUGGAAGGACGAGAGGGCAACUGAGGACAGCCAUUAUCUUUGAGACAAUAACGAAAAGAAACUUUAGGAGGAAAAGAUACAUCCAGCAUCCUAAAUUUAACUGCUCUCUUUCUUUUCCCAGCUUUUGAGCCUCUCCUAAUUUUUUUCAAAUGAUUGCUCCUCCCACUACCAGAAAGGCUAAUGUAAAUUUGAUUCUGACCUUUUUUCCAUGUUAAGGAAUCUAGGAGUUUAAGCUCAUCAAGCAAACUAAAAGAUGACUGCCCAUUCAGAAUUUUGGAAGAUCCUUUAUUUCUUAUCUUAGUCCUGCAAGAAACACCAGCAAACUCAGCACUUCUUUCACUUUCAAGAGCUUCAUUUGAUGAACAACAUUUAUCAAUGCCAGAUCCCUCGUCAACUAUAAGACCAUUUAUAUAUCCAUUAUCCCCAGCAUCAAUGGUAGAAGAAUCCAUAUUGUUAACCUCAAUUGAUGCCUGGGUGACAGCAGGGGCGGAACAUCCAGAAGAAAUAUUCAACACAUCUUGCCCCUUAAACGAGUCAGCUCUGUUUACAGCAGAUCCACUACUGUGCAUACCUGCAGCAUCUCCAAGUUGAUUUUCAGCACAUCCAACUGCAUCUACCACUUCAGUUGAUGAAUUAAAACGUAUCAUUUUACAAGCCUCCUUUGGCUUGCUUGGAACAUCUCUCCACUGAGAGGAAUGACAAGCAAUUCUCGUAGGAAGUUGCCCUUUCACUUUUCCACCUUGAUCCAAUAAAAUCGCUCUUUCUUUUGGAAUAAUAUGAUCUCUAGCAAAUUCAGAAGCAACUGACAUAGGAGCUCCAGAACAGAAACCUCCCUGUUCCUUGGAGACAACAUGAGAUAUUCCAACUCUACAAUCAGAAUGUCCUUCUAAGCACUUUGCAUGGGCUGAGCAGAUGCAGUCACCCUGAAAAUAUGCACAAGGUACUCUCUGACAACAUUUUGCACGCCCACUCGAUUGCGUGAUGCUCUCACCUCUGAUGAGCCUAAAACAUUGAAUCAGAAAAUUAAUGCUAGGGAGGAUAACAUCCACAACUAAAUUCACCUCUCAGAUCUGCGUUUCAAUACACAACUUACCAACCAACAUGUACUAAAUAUAAUAUAAAAUUUAAACAUAAGAUGUGUGUGUAGCCAGUGAGCAGAUACUUUAUUUAACAAGGGAAAGAUGAGAACAAAAGACGAGGGCAAGGGAAAGGGACAUAACACCUCAUUAAUCACUAAAAUUUUGAAAGCUUCAAGUAACUGCAAAUUUGACAUAGCGUUUAAAGACUAACCUCAAUGAAGACUGAUUAGGAAAAAGAUUGUUAGAAUAUUGACAUGGCAUGUCAACUUCUCUAAAAGGUAGUGAAUGCCCUUGAGUCAAAGUUAAGAAAUCACAGUGGUUGUUCAACCCUGGAUGAUGAAAACAAAAUGUUAUAAAAAUACAUACAUUAGAGGAAAACCAAGAUACGUACGCAAUUCACAAGCAAAAUAUCCACAUCCUCACUUGCCUGUCAUGGGGAUCAAUUUUUCAGCAGCACAAGAUGGAACUGAUGCUGAAGCACCUUCAAAAACAUCCUGCCUGCUGGGAAGAAUAGAACCAUGUUUUUCUUCUCUAGAUUUUGAUGAUUCAAGAAGAGAAUGUUGUACAUUAGGAUUCGAAAUUCUAUUUAGCUCAUGGCUCAUUCCAGCAGAGGAAAUUGCAUGUUGCUUUGACAAUUCCAAUAUCUGCCUCAAUGCAAGUAGUCUUGUACCAUCAUCAAGCGAACAAGCGCCCUCUUGUUGUGAGAUGGUGGAGGUUGAACCCGGUGAAAAGGUGGAAGUAGCUAACGGAAAGCCCAUUGAAACAGCAGAUGGUUGAGAAACAUGUCGAGAGCUCAAAUAUGAACUCAUCAGCGCAAGAAAAGCUUGAUCAGUAUGUCCGCUACUUCCAACUAAAGAAGAGUUCCUAGAAUGGUUGAGACGGCUUCUCUCAUCAAAUCUACCUGAAGGAAUAUUAGAUGACUGACAUGAUUUUGUGCCAUAAACUACUGAAAAACCAGGCUCAACUCCAGUGACAAUUCUAGGAUUUUCCACCUGCUUAUGGAUUCUCAAGGCUAAAUCUGUUGCAGCAGAAAAGUCACCAGAAACACAUUCCAAUCCUGCACCUUUACCUUUUUCUGUUAAUCUGCAGAAACCCAACUCAGGCAUAUUCAACUGUCCCCCAAAAUUAUUUCCAAUUUUCAAGGGAGCAUUUAGUGGGUCACACUUGGUAGUAUUAGAUCCAAAAUGAAAUGUCUUUGGCAUGCUAAAUUCACUGACCAUAUUAUUAGUACCUCUAGAGCAUGCACUCCCUUCCAGUGGUAGCUCUUUAAGUAGGGGAACUACUACACUCUUGGCGGCAUCACCUCUGCUUUCUAGUUUGUUAGCAUCCACAAGAUUGUUGACGGCAAAUGCAUGGUUGCCAAGGUUCAACUGGCUUCGUUGUCUUCUUGCAAUGGGGUUGGAAGAGUCUGCAUCAUGAUGACAAUAUCGCCUCGAUUCCUCAUCCCCACAAAAGGUUGCUGCAUUAUUCCAGGACUAAUCAUAAUAUGAUCACUUAGCCAUAAUACCAAAAAAAACACAUAAAUAUAAAAUAACCUAUAACAAUAAGCUACAAUAAAUGAGCUAGCAGGGAAAACUUUUUAUCUACCCACCACAAUCAACCAUCUGCUCAGGAUAGCUUGACUUACAAGGAUCAACAACUGUGUUAAAAUGUUUGGGUGCAAUGACUGGUAGAGCAGAGUUUCCUAAAGGCUGACUCGUUUGAUAUGGUUGCCCAAGCUUUAACUCCAUGCUUGAGGAAGCGGCAUCUCUCCUAGAUAUUAAACCAUCUGUGAUUUUAGCUGCAGUGACAUCAUAAUUUUGAUCCAGGGUUCUUAAAUUUUGCAAACUAGAGCGGGUGAGUGAUGAGUUUCCAGUCUUCAAAAUUGAAUCAAUCCAAGCAGACAUGGACUGACAACCAUUAUCUGAAUCCCUACCAACAAAUGCUGACAUUGUUGGACUCUUUGAGACAGCACACUCCAUUCUCUGGCCAUCAGCCACAUCAUGCAAAUUGCAUUGGGAAGCACCAAAACGUUUGAGAAGAAAGUUACUACUACUCCCAGUUUUUUGCUCCUGUUUGUUAUGUAAGAGACCAGUAGCACAAUUCCGGCUUGUGAAAGGAUUACUCGGGAACAUGGCAUUGUCUACGCACCUUGACAAACCUUGAGAUGAACCAACUGGAUUAGCCAUGUGAGAAGUGUUAGAUAUUUUGGGCAUGGAUGCACCAGAUUUCACCAAAGCAGUAGUUGGUAACAAUCCUUCAGGCCAGUCCCAUCCACUGUGAUCUUCCGGAACCCUGAUCUAAAGCAUCAUAAAAACAUCACCAUCCAGUGUUCUCGUUGCUUCAAACACAUGCCAAUAAGAAAUACAACUUUCAAUCCCAAAGGUAAAAAAUAGAGAAAUUGAAGAGAUAACUACUGUAAUAGUGGUAUGUAAGGUCUAUAAUACUACUGCAAUGAUAAACCAAGUAUGAGUUGGUUUUUAUGCGCCCCCACCCCCUCCAGAACCAUUCAAUUUCCCUAUAAAAUAGCACUGGAUUAGCAAAAAAGCAUAAAACUUGAUACAUCUAACAGAGCCAGCAUUCAUUACGAAGCAUACCCCCCCAUGGAUCAGACUAUCUUGAAGCUCAAUGAAUCAUAUUAUAGAGGUAAUAUUGGUUUUCUAAAGUAGUCAUAUUUCUUACAUGUCAAAUACUCCUCAAGGAAAGAGGGUUACAUUAAAUUCUCAAUAUUAAAUUAUCGAUAAAAUGAAACAUGUGGAGAUCACAUGCAUGUUUGUGAUAAUGAAGCAACCACCCAAAGAGUUCAUUUGAAGUAAACAUUGAGAAUAAGGGUAAUGUAACUCCUACCCUAAAUUUCUCAAAGUAGAGCUUCCGCCACUGUGCAAUGUUCUCUCCACUUUCCAUACGAACAGCAUCCCCAGGGUUCAUAUCACAUAAUCCUGAAUGCUGCAAUAUGAAAGCAGUGGCAGCAACUUGUAAGCAUGAAUCCACUCCAAAUGGGUAAUGCAAGCAUGUGUUACAAGUAAGAGGGCUAAAAAAACCACAGUAAACAUAACAAGUAGAAGCAAGUUACCUCACAAAACUUGGAGACAGAGGUGUGAAAAAAAUGACAUGAGCAAACAAUGCCAAGAAGUCCUGUAUUGCUGAGAAGCAGAUAUCCACCUUUUUCAUCAAAUUAAAAAGGAAAAAGAAGACAUUAGGCCAUAUCCAAAAUGAGAGCUAUUAACCAAGAACAAGAAUUAUACAUCAUGCACUCACCUGUACCUAAACAGAACACACGAGGGCACCCACUUAAUAUAGUUGAUGGCUGAUCAGAUAUAAAAGAGUUUGAUUCUUCAGGUAUCUUUGGUGACAUCUGGAUAUUUUUGCUAUGGGGAUUCCCAGCCUUUGCACAACUGGUAACAUAGCAAUCCCCUUUCAAGGUAGCAAAGUCCUUUACCUUCUCAGUACCAGGAAGCAUGUGACAAUUGACUACUUUGGCCAGAUCUGAAGUCUGAAGAUUUAAGUUAGAUGCAUGAAGGCUUCCAUGCAAAACUGAAACACAGCAACUCGUGGAACUUGAUACCAAGCUAGAUGUAACAGCAGAGCAAUUUGCCCCAGUUUGUGUAUUUUGAUUGCUCAGAUUUUCUGAUAGCAAGGCACCAGAGGUUCGUGGAAUUUCACUUCCAAAAUCAUUGAUAUUAACACUUCUAGAGGCAUUGAAUACUUUUCGACUUGACAAUUCCAGAAAAUCACACUGUAAAAGUGAUGGUGGCCCAGAUAGAAGAGCUAGAAAUGAAUUUUCCAGCUCAGAAUGAUUUGAUUUAUGGGAACAUAAGUUUGAAUAGUUGGAAGGCAUGGAGUCGGGCAUUCUUUCAUGCAAUGUUGGACUUAAAUCUUGUGUAGCAUGUUCGUGAAAAUACUGCCCAGAAUUCAUCUCCAUCUGUAUUUAAAAGUAAUUGAUGAUUAAAUGAAAAGGAAGGAGGAGAAGAAAGUAUAUCAUACUCACAAUUCAAAAGUAACAACACAUGAGUAAGUUCUCUUCAUCAAUGAUGACUGAAUCAGACAAUAAAAUCAGGAAUGACAUUUAAGAAUUUUGCAUAUCUCAACUAUGAAGAAAUGAUACUAAGAAAAAAGGACCAAGGCAGAGCUUGGCCCUUGCUGCUGCGUUAGGGGAUUAAGAGUUGUGUUCCAGGAGAAGAAGGGGGUAUUAGGAUGGCCCAGAUCCCUCUAGAGCUCAUACAUUCUAUUCUGGGAUUAGAGAAUGUCCUCAACUACCUUUAUCCAAAGAAUGCGUACAGGAAGAAAUCUCAAAGCUCAAAAAACAAAAACAUGAAUAUAAUGCCAUAUAUCAUACCUCUGUAAGUAGAAAUAAUAAUCUAGCAGUGUUCCACAUGCAAUUUUCCUACUCUACAACAUUCAUUCAUCCAUUCAACAUAUCCACUACCAACAAACCUGGAUACUAAGGGCAUUCCUACUUCUCUGAUCAUCGAGAUUUCAGACCACACAAUUGAUUAUGAUCAGCAGCCUCCAUUUAAGUUGGAUUAAAUCUAAAACGUCAGCCAUUGACUCCAAUUCCCUUUGGUUGCCUAUGGUGCUUAAUGAGAUUCAUUACACUUGGCCUGGGUGAAAUCUAAUGUGCUAGAGAACUUCAAUGUUCAAACACACAAGAGCUGCCCCGCGCAUUCAAUAGAUUGUCCGCGUUCAUUCCAAAAGACUAAUAUUUUUUCGUUCUCCACUUAUUUCCAUGCACAAACAAACCCCAGAAUUGUUGAAUGACCCAUGAGUUUCAGUGGACAGCUUAAAAUAACCAAAAAAAAAAAGGGGCAUUGCAGGAAUGUGAUAUUCCAGAUUACAUUAUCCUAGCCCGAUGUAGAAUCAUUCCAAACAACUAAUAGAAACGCUCUAAAAUCAAACAGAAAAACAAACAUCAAGGUUAUCUUGGCAACGGUAAUUUUUUUUAAAUAAAAAGUUUAACUGCCAAAACAACAAAAUAAGCACGUUCCAUCCGAUGCCUAUUCACCAUGAUUUUCAAAAAUAUAUAUUUAAAUAGAUGCGUUAAUUACCUGAGCCGAUGAAGCCAUUGAAGGCACCGAUGACGGCAAUGUAGAAUCAAAUUUGAUCCGCCAAGAGUUAUCCAUCCCUCGAUAUUCUACAAACCCUAACCCUUCUCUAUUAAAAUCAUAGAAAUCACCGCGAAAGAACCCUAAAGAAACCAGUAAAACAACUCUCAACGAUGGAACGCUGCAAUGUCCCUUCACACCUCAGCUUUACAGUAACUAAACAGUAUAAAGCGAAGGAAUAUCACAUAGGCAAUGAAGGAAAAGAACGAAUAAUAAAUAAUAAACCCUAAGUCAAGAGAAAAAGAAAGAAACGAAAAAAGUAAGAAAAAGGGUGUAUUAAUGGAGUUCGGAAACUGAGAAAAAGAAAAAGACGCUUUACUUUACAGACAAGAAAUAGAGAGAGCGGGGCAUCUAAAUUUUAUUAGCUCGAGGCACGGUUGACUGGACACUGACAACAUAGACACGUGUAACUCUUUAAAUGAACUUUCACCGUUGGAUUUAUGAUGUGGUGAUGGAUGAUGGGGAGAUGGACAAUGUGGGCCGUCGAUUGCGAAUACAGCUGGAUAGGGGUUGUUGAUUGGAGAAGCGAGAGGGAGUGAACGAGUGCUAUCAUCGCAAUUUAGGGCAUGCGCGCGAAAGAUUGCGGUGGGACCCAAAAAUUGGGCGAACGGGACGAAAAUAAUUGGUGGGGACAAGUUAGAGUGGUAGGAAGAUGGGGUGGGUUCCACCAGAAGGUGUGUUUGGAUGAGGUGGGGUAUAGACCAUGCCCAAAAUGCUAAAUAACCGUAAAUAACCUUUUAUCCCACGUUCGGGGAGGAGAAGCCUUCUCGUGCUCCUGGAUGGCGACUUCGUCUUUUUUCAUUUUUCCUUUCUUUUUGGGUCCAUUGACAGCGAAGGCUUGGGCCUACCCAGUGGUAAAGGGUUCUGCUAUUAUUAAGUCCAAGAUGGGGCACUCACUAGUUUAUUUAAUGUAAAUAUUUUUUUAUUAAAAAAUUCAUUUAAUGAAAAUUUUGAAUAUAAUUAAAUGUUUUAUUUAUCAAUUAAAUAAUAUGAGUAGUUAAAACAAACUAAAUAAAUAUAUAAAUUUUACCAACAUCGGUGUUUAUAGUAUAUAGAUAAAUAUUAUAUAUACGUAGAUUAUAGAUGGAUAUAAACAUACUUAUAUUUUAUCUAAAAUAUGAAAACACCGAUUUUGCUUUUCUCUAAUUUAAUUUUUAGUAGCAAAAUAGAAACAAUGUAAAUCAUUUAUAUACAGGGGAUUGGAAUAUAAAAUUGUAUAAGAUUAGACUAUAAAAGAAUAGACACAGGUACCUUUAGACAGAAACUAAAAAGAGUAACUUUGAUAUUGGGAAGAAAAGUAGUUGUUCGAUUCACUGAUUUUAGAAACAAUUAUACCAAAGUAUCCUAUUUGUAUAUAAGGGAUUCUCAUUAACUAAAGAAGAAAAUCACAAAUUAAUUCUAGUAUCCUAUUUAUAUAUUGUAAUCUCAUAUAUUGCUCUAAUUCUAGUAUCACAAUCUUUAAUAUUGCGUUUGUACUAUUUCAAUGGUAUCCUUUUUUUUUUAUUCCAAAAAAUGCAAGAAGCCGAUCUUCAGAAAUUAUAAAAAAAAACCCGUGCAUUUGAUAAAUAAAAACACCAAAAAAUGUUGUUACUAGUCAAACAGAACAUGUCACUCUCCAGCUAGUUUAUGGUGAAAUUAAUGAACCAGAAAUAUUGCUAAGAACAUAAAAAUGGCAGAGCAUAAUGUCUUAAUCAGUUGUAGGUUGUUUUGAGGUGGACAAUGCGCCCAUGAAAGGGGUGGUAGCAUCCCAGUUUGGUCGUGAACCGUCUGAAACAAUGGUGGCAACAUCCGGUAAAGACCAGCAACUUCCUUCGUUGCAGAAUUACCAGCUGCAGCUCCAGUCCCAUCUGUUGUUUCGCCGCCAUUCGUCCAAAUGCCAAUCUUGGGCUGUAAUCCACGCACAGCCUCUGCGUUGAUCUUAGCAAUGUCUAUAAACAUUCCAGCAUUGAUCAUCAAGUAAUCCCUGAGGGCUGCAUAGUUGCCUCCGAGUGAAUUUAAAAGUGUGCUGAGAUACAGGCCUUGAGCUUUUCCUGGUGCCACGAGCCCUUAUGCCUCUUUUUGCUUUACAUACAAUUUUCCAUCAGCAGCUUGCUUUCGAGAAUAAAAAGCAGCAUCUGCUAUUGCCUUUUGUGCUGCUGCCUCUUGUUCUUUCCCGUAUAGAACAGCCUCCGCUUCUUUCUGUUUCUUGUAGAGCUCCCAAUUUGCUUCUUGCACCUUUAUUAGAAAAAUAGAAAGAAAAAGGAGAAAAUAUCAUAUAUGGUCCAACUCCACAAUCAUUCAAAAGAGAUGUAUACAGUAUCAAUACGAGAGACAUGUACCACAAACUAUUAAAAACUAAGCACACAUUUAUAGGGAUUUCCUCUGGAAGUUAGAUUAAACUGAUUGUAGCAAAAUCCUAUCAAAGUCCACUAUCAGAGGAAGAGCCUUCAAUUCCACAAGCAACAGGGAAAUGGAAGACUAUAUCGUUUUUUCUUGGACGCUAAAAGUUCAUCCUAAAGAGAAUAUACAUCUAAGUUUCUUAUAUUAAACUUAUAAGUUAUUCAAAUUGAAGCAGACUUUUCUCUUGGUUAUUGACGUGAAGCCAAGCCAUAAAUCUCUCCAGAUCUACUGUAAUUAAUAUUGCCUGGUGUUACAGUAUUAGAAGUUCUUGAUGAUGCAUCUUCAAUAUGCUUAAAAACGAAGUAAGGGAAUGCAGCAGAGCAGUUUAAGACACUGAUAAGAUGGGUAUCCAAGUCGUUUUAAAGGCAAUCAUCAUAUAAGAAUAAUGACAAAACAACCAAAUAAAUAAUCAUAGGUACAGUGAAACCUAAACUACAUACUGGAAACAGCAAAUUUAGCAUACAGUAUAAACUAAAAGCAACAAAAAUAAAUAUGAUGCAUCAAAUAUGUUCAAAUCAGAACAAUGCAAAUACAGUAACAAUUGAUUUAUGAUCAAACCAGCAACACAGUAACUAUAUGAAAGAAGCAAUCUAAGAAAGAAACUGUAACAAAAGCAACAUAGAAAUUUUUCAAACAACUUUCAUACUCGACCUGGCUUAAAAAAACGGGAGAGAAUUUGAAUCUCGUCUAUAACGGAUGAAUCGCGACCGUAAAUUACGGUAUAACGGUGAAUAGCGGCAAUAGCGACCCGCUAUUGCUCGCUAUUACCGUUAUUGUCAUUAUUCUUAUUUUUAUUCAAAAAUUAAAAAAAAAUCAUUUAAUUUUAUUUAAAAACUUAAAAUAAAAACAACAAGAAAGAAAAUAAAUAUCAAUUUACAAAUUCAAAAAAAAAAAAAACCCACAAAACUUAAACUUUCAAAAAAAUCAAUUCUCUCAAUUUCAACUUCAAUCAAAAUCAAGUAUAUGCAAUUUAAAGUAAACAAUUAAUUCAACACUCAAAUUAUCUUUUUUUUUAAUUUCCAAAUUUGCUAUGAUUUUAUGUGUUUGGGAUUAGAUUGGGCUAUGUUACAUUGAUAGAAUGAGGUAAGAGUUGUUGGGACUUAAAAUAAGAGAUAAGAGUGAAACUUGAGGUUUACAGAAGUAAAUAGAUAGCACACACCAAAUAAAAAGAGAACUAAGAGAUGGGGAUAAAGAUAAAGGUUUGGAGAAAAAAAAUUAUUGAAUGCAAGGUGAAAGGAUAAGAAGUUGCGUGUGUCUGUGUAAUUUAGUCAAGAAACAAGAGAAAUAGACUUGAGAUUAUUAUUGUUGAAAAUCGACCAUAACAUGGAGGCUGUCAAGUUUGAUUUACUGUAAGUUCAUAAAAAAUAAUUCAUUUGACUCAUAAACAAUAAUGCUCUUACUUAAUUUAUGAAUACAUAAUCACUUAUUAUUUUGAUUUAUGCAUAAUAUAGUUUGAUAAUAAUUUGAUGAGUACGGUAAUUAAAUAAUUAAAUAUAUUAUUCGUUAUGAUUAUUUAUUUUUCACAUAUUUAUUUAUCUCAUUUUAUUUUUUAAUUAUCAUAUAAAUAAUUUUUUAAAUAUGAAUAUUUUACUAUAAAUAUUUUUUUUUAAAUAAAUAAAACACAUGAUAUGAUAUAAAUUACUUUAAAAAUCAUAAAAUAAAAAGUUUUAUGAUUAAUAAUUAAAAUUAUUAUAUUUUUAUAACAAGUUGAGUAAAAUUUUAAAAAAUUCACGAUCGUAAUAACCGCAAUGAUCGCGAAGGUCUUCGUUAUAUCCACAACCAUGCCAAAUGCAAUGCGACAAAAAACGUGACCGUUACUACAAUUUAAAUCCCUGUACUCGACGUUGGUUUUACUGAGAAGCUCAGCCUUGAGCUUCUCGGUCGUGGUCAUAGCAUUCAUCCUCUCCACCAUCUUUUGCAACUCAGCUUCCCUCAAUGCCACGGCCUUCGCAGCCUCCACCUCUGCCACUUGAGCCUCUUUGGCCCACCCUGCUUUCUUCUUUGCCAAAGCCGAGUUUGCCUCGGCUAUCUCAGCCUCUCUUUGGUUCUCAUAAACUUUCACCUCACUCUUCACCCUUAUCUCUUCCUUCGUCCCUUCACCCUGCCUCUGUGUCGAUAUAAUCUUCGUCUCUGCAUCAAUUUUCGCAGCAUUUUGUAACGUUUGUCCUUGUCUUAACUUGGCCCCCAUCUCUCCCUUCAUCUUUGCCUCUGCCACAUCAAUCUUGGCUUGAUUAGCAGCCUCCAUUUGAGUCUUUUGACCCAAGUAAGAAAAAUACACUUGCCCCCGCACAUCAUCAAGUUGUUUAACGUUAGCAUUGUAUAUCAAAAGUCCAAACUGGUUAAGCUCAAGUUGAACCUUCUCAAAAACCUCUUGCUUAAACUCUUUAGUUCCUCUGAAUAUCUCUUCCAUGGUCAUUGAAGCAGCCAGAACCCUGGUUUCCCCUUCAAUGACACCUUGUACGAGUUCGUUGACGUGGUUGGAUUGUUUAUCAUGAGGAGACAUAAGCUUGGCAUAGUUGACAAGACUUUCUUCAUCAUCCACACGUGGCCCGAUAGUGAAGACUGCGGGAAGGAUAAAAGGGAGUUUCUCGGCACUCAUGGCUUGGACUUCGAACGUGUAAUUCACAGGCGUUAUGUCCAAAAAAAUGCAACUCUGGCCAGGGAAUAUCCACGACUUUUUGGCAAACUUUUUGGCUUUCGUAUUACAAGCCAGAGGGGGUCUUUUCCCUCCCCCUCCAAUUUUAAACAUAUAUAUUAAAUAAAUUAAAUUUAUCCAUUGGCAAACAUGUUAAUUUUAUUUAUUUUUUUCAUGAUCCUUAACUUAUUUUUAGGAAUUAAAAUCACAUUAUUAUUCAUCUAUUUAUUAUACCAAUCAAUCGUUAUUUUCAAAUUAAAUUCUGAAAAUCAAAAGUUUGUUAUAAGAAUUAAAUUACAAUCAUGUCAAUUUAAUUAAAUUCAAAUUGCCUUUUUAGCUUUUUUUUCAUAAAACUUUAAGUCUAUAAUUAAUAUAAUUACCAAACAUAUAUAUAUAUAUAUUUUAAUCGACUAUAACUUCUCUCUAUAUAAUUCACUUUUAAUUUUACCUUAAAUCCUAUUUUCUCGCUAUCAUAUAAAUUUUCCAUACGAAAACGUUAGAUUAGAUUCACUUUAUAAAAAGGUUAUAAAAUAUCAUAACUUCUAAUUUUAAACUUUAUUAUUUUAAUGUGUAUUUUAUUUUUCUUAUUUCUAUAAAAAUAUAUUAUUUAAUAAUUAAUUUAUUUAUAGUUUUAAUAAAAAAUGUCAUUUACAAAUUUAAGUAAAAUUAUUAAUUUAUUGUAUUAUGUUUCUUUAUACAUUUAUUUAUGGAUUGAUAAAAUUUACAAUGGAUUAGAAAGAUCAUUAACAACUCUUUUCUUUUGGGCAUGUCAUUGACAAUUUUUAAUGAUUAGAAAUUGUACAAUUAGUUUUAUUAUAAUAUUAUAAUUAAUAAAUUAUAAUAAAUAAUUAUAUAAGAAUCUAACAUUUAAAAUAUAUGAAUUUCACAUAAGUUUUUAUAAAAUCUAUAUAACUUUAUUUAUAAUUAACUAAUUAUACUACAGUAAUUAUAGAUAUUAUAUUCCCAUUGAAAUUACAAUUAGAUAAAAAAAAUUACAUUGAAGCUGCUCCCCCAAUGGGUUUUGGAGAUGCCUUAACAAACAACAUGAUAAACCCUAAUCCAAGCAGAGAGAUGGAGCCAAAAUUAUUUGGAAUGAACUUAUAAGGAAAAGCCUGAAUUAUCUCAAUUACUAUAAUGACCUUUCAUUAUCUGCAAAUCUAAAAAUUUUGUAUUAAGAAAUUGUAAACUUUGUUCUAGGCCUUGGGCCUUUUCCUCUAUACAAAAAAAAAAAGGCUGAUUUUGGGGGUCCAAUUCUUUUGGACCGAAUGUCCAUAUGGAAUAAUGGUUUUGUUUUUAGGGUCAUGAUUAAUUGGAAAUGGAUCGAUUAACAAAGAAAUAUGUAUAAUUUUUAAAAUUUUUUGAAGUUAAAAUUAACCGUUUCUAUAAUUAUUUUUUAAAAAUACCAUAUAGUUAAAUUUAAAAUUAGACUUUUUUUAUCCCAAAUUACAAUCUCCUUUAUAAAUAAAUAUAUAUAUUGUAUACUGUUUUAUUUUUCAUAAAAUGAGUUAGAUAUAUUGUUAGAACAUUUGACUAAAUUUGGCACGUAGCUUUUUGCAACAAAAAAGUUUGAUAUGAAUCAUCUUCUCCGAAGUUUUAAAACGAAUUGCUAGAUCUAGUAUGAUAAUAAUAAAAGUUGAUUUAAAAUAGUUUCAAGUUUUUUUUUUUACUUGUACUAUUUAAUCACUUGCAAGACUAUUCGCUUGUUCAUAAUUGAAAUUUUGUAAAUUUAACAUUCUAUGGUUAAAAAUGUCUUAAAUUAUACUUUCAUGGAACAGUAAUAACACUUUAAAACUGCAAAUGUUCACCUACAAGAACAUGACAAGGACCCAAAAAAAAGCCUUAAAUAUGUAGCCAAUGUUCGUUUUAGUUUGAUGCGUAUUUCAAGCCACGUGUCACAUUUUUUUUUUUAAUUAACACAACCAAUGUUAUUCAUUUGCAAAUAUUUGUGCGUAGAACUAAUAAUUUGUAUUAUUAUAUCAUAUAAAAUAUUAUAUUUAUAUUAUAAUUUAUAUAAAAAUUAUAUAUUAUUUAUUGAUAUAAAAAUAUAAAAAAUAGUUUAUAAUUUUUGUUAAUAUUUUAAAUCAUAUUAUUUUAAUAUUAUAUUAUUAUAUCAUAUUUUAAAUUAUAAAUAAAACUUAUGUCACGAGUAUGGUGUAAUCGAGUCGAGUCGAGUUGAUACAGUGAAAAGUUUAAGCUCGAGUUCAACUCACAACUUGAGGCUCGAUACUCGGUUCGAACUCAAUCGAGUUUUAUUUUUCAAACUCAAGCUCGAUUCGUGAUUGAAUUCGAAUUACUCGAACUCGUUCGAUUAAGCUCGAUUAAUAUGUAAAAAUAAGCUCGAUUCGUAUACUCGAUAAAAGUUCGAUUAUUUAUACUCGAACUCGAAUUCGGACUCAAAAUAUUUUAUUAAUUAAAAUAAUAAAAUUAUAUUUAAAUAUAAAAACUCGAUUAAACUCGUGAACUAUUCGAAUCGGAUAUAAAAAUAUUCGAAUUUAGUUCGAUCGAUAAAUUGAACUACUCGAACUCGAACUUGACCCGAUAAUAAUCGAAUCAAAUUUAAAAUUUUUUUAAAUUAAAUCUGAAUAAUUUAUAAAUAUUAAUGUAUUAUUUACUUUACUAACGAGUAAAUGACAUUAGGUCAAUUUAAAAGAUUGUUUAUGUUACCGAAAGGGCGGGAAGACGAGCAUAAAAUGUGGAAGAACCGGAAAUUGUGGUUUCUUUUUUCCGUAACUUUUUGGUUGGAAUACAACAAUAAACUUCAGCCCAGCCAUGGCAGAGAGCAAAUUCCUUGGGCAGCGAGCUUUUUAUUACGCGUUUAGUGGGGCCGCUCUUACAAUUUCUUCGAUUGACUUUUUGGCCAAUUUAGCACCACAUUUUCACAUUCACGCAAACAUGUUAUGUUUGAAAAUAAGCAAUUUAUUAAUAAAUAAUUAAUUUAUUCGAUUAAAUUCAUUUUAUUUAAUAAAAAAAUUUUGGAUUCAAAGAUAAUCAAUUAUUGAAAUAAUUUUAAAUACAUAAUUUAUAAUUAUUUAUAUUAAAUUAUUAAAUAUAAUACAUUUUAUUAUAAUUUAAAAACUAAAUAAUUUAUCUACUGAAAUUUUUUUUUUUUUAAAAAGCAAUCUAUCUCGAAAGGAAAAUACGUAAUCUAUAAUUGCCGCACUGGAUUUAGAAAUGCACAACAAGGGCAUUUAUGUCUUAAAAGCUUUUUUUCGAUGCAAUGGAGGAUGACAGUACAAAGUGGUAAAUCUGUAAUUGUUUGCUGUUGUUGUUGGGCAGUAUCCAAUGCUUUUCCUGUCUUGCUCUUCACUGUCUACACUCUACUCCCUCUUCCUCCUUUUAAUUUUCUCUCCUUUUCUCUCUCUUUGCUUUAUUAAUUUCUCUUUGUUUUCAAGUGACGAUGCUGAUGAUGUUAUCAUGGAGUUCACUGCCAUUUUCUCUUGCGUACACAUUUCUCUUCCUUUCAACCUUCUUAACAUUCUCGCAUGGAGUUUUUGUCUCUCACUCUACCACACCCCUUGUACAACUCACUUCGGGUAUUUCACUUGUUCUCUUCUCUGGCAGGUUCCCUGUCUUUUUCUCCUUCAUUCUUGUUUGGUUAGUAACAAAAUUUUAGUUGGAAACAAUACAAAACCACAAAGUUUCAGUAACAUACACAACGUUACUAAGCAAUGGGGCUGAAAAGAGAAUGGAUGUGACUGUCAUUUUGUUACUUAUUUUGACAUUUAUUUUCAGGGAAAGUAAAUGGAAGUGAGGCAAAGUAUGUGGUGGAGUUUUCAUGGGGGACUACUAGGAGGUCUGUAGCGGAGGGGCCGAUUGGUGAACCUGUGCCAGUGGAGAUCAGUACUUCACCCCUUGUUUUGGCUGCUGAGAGGACUUACAGAAAGGACCCUCUUAAUGGAUUCAAGAGAUACACAGGAGGAUGGAAUAUCAGGGAGCGCCAUUACUGGGCUGUAAGUUUACCAAAACCCAAGAGCCAAGAUGUAACCAUUUUUCAUGAUUUUUUUUUUACUUUCUCUUUUCGGACAUGAUCAUGCCAUGUACUCAUGUCCAGUAAUUUAUCACUUGCCAGCAUAUGAUUACUCAUGAACCCUUGGCUCUGGUUCAAAUUUUCAAUGUUGGCACGUGGGUGAUUUUACAUUUAGGUCCUUCAGAAUUUGUGAUUUUGACACGUGGGGUAUAAUUGCUUGUCAAACAUUCUGGUUAAGGUCCCCCAUUCCCACCAUACACCCUUCUUUUUCUUCAGUUUUCUAUUUUGUGGCAAAUGGUAGUGAAAUUAUAGUGGAUAUUGAAAAUACAGUUCCCAAUUGCUGUCCAGAGGAGAUAAUUUAUUUCUAUAGAUAUGUAUGGAGUUUUUUUUUUUUUUUUUUCGGCCAGAAAAUAAUAAUGGAUUUGUUUAGCUUAACAUGGAUGAAACUAACUUUUUGUUUCUAAUCUAGUACACAAUCAUAGCAGUAGUCCAAUACCUACAUUUAUGUUUGCAGAAAUGCUGAUCUGGUGCUAGAAAUAGUAUGCCAUUAGCCCAUUACUGCAGCAAUUUCCUUUUGGAGUAAUUUUUCCAUGUAUUUUUCAUUUAUAUAGUAGAUAUUGAAGCAAAUAGGAUUGAGACAUGGUUCAAGCUUUGGGGACAAGGCAGGUCCUUGGUGCUGGAUGAUGUGAAGUUAAGAAUGUGACUUUGUAAGCAAGUUGAUUGAUUCUUUAAAGAUCCUAUUCUUAGGUAUACCAUAUGUGUCUUCCCUCGUGGAAGCUGGCGAAUUAUAGAUGAACAUGAUAUCUACCAAUAAAUUUGAUCCUUUCAUGCCACAAAAUUUUUCUUUGUACUUUGAUAUAGCUAUAGUAUUGCACUAAGUUUUUUUUUUUUUGUUUUUAUUUAAUAUUUUCAUUUUCGUACCCUUUUAUCCAUUUUCGUGUCCUAACUAAUCAUUUCCGUUUUUGUUUAAAUACAGUCUGUGGCUUUUACUGCACUUCCUCUGUUUGCAAUUGCUGCAAUCUGGUUUGUUGGCUUUGGGUUAUGCUUAUUGCUCAUCUUUCUCUGUUAUUUCUGCUAUAAAAGGCAGCCAUAUGGAUAUUCUCGAAUUGCUUAUGCAAUCUCUCUCAUUUUCCUCGUGUUGUUCACAGUUGCUGCAAUGUAAAUGCAUCUUUCUCUCAUGUCAUAUUCAUAUUGAAUAUUGAUAUGUGUCAUGGUUGUUCCUAAAUCCUAAUGCUUUGCUCUUUGGUUUUAGGCUUGGCUGCAUUGUCCUAUAUGUUGGCCAGGGGAGGUUUCAUAAUAGCACUACAAAAACAUUAGCUUAUGUUGUAAAUCAGGCAGAUAUGACUGUCAGGAAACUAAAGGAUGUGUCAGACUCUCUUGCAACAGCUAAGCAGAUUGGAGUUGAUAAAGUUUUUCUACCUUCUAAUGUCCAAACAGAUAUUGAUGAGAUAGGAGCAAAAAUUAAUUCUUCUGGAAGCACCCUAGCUGACAAAACAGUGGAUAAUUCAAAUGACAUUCGAGAUCUCCUAGAUUCUGUGUAAGUGAAGCAUUCUGAAAUUUACCAAUAUGUUUUAGUGCUUCCAAGAAAAGCUGUCAUUAAAGCAGUAUUUCAAUGCUGUUACAGGAGAGUGGCUCUUAUUGUAAUGGCUGCUAUCAUGCUUCUAUUGACAUUUCUUGGAUUCUGUAAGUCCCUGUGGUUUCUUUAGUAAGAAGUUGCGAAAGUUCGUUUUUCCAGAAUUUAGAAAGUUUGUGAGUUAAUUUAUUUAUGCAAUCUAAUUUUGUUUCAGUGUUCUCAAUUUUUGGGAUGCAGCUUCUUGUUUACAUGUAAGAUGGAAUUUCAUUCUCCAGUUUUUUCUCUGAUUUUAUUUGGAUUCAAACGAGGACCUUUCUUAACAGAAAGGUUUAAAACUAUAUCUGUUUCAGCUUAGUGAUACUAGGAUGGAUGCUUGUCACUGGAACAUUCAUUCUUUGUGGUACAUUCCUUGUUCUCCAUAAGUAAGUUUUAACAUAGCUCAACCUAUAUUUCUACAUCUUACUGCUUCUAAUUUUAAAACCUAAUUGAUGUUUUGUUUUUGAUGUGCUAGUGUGGCUGCAGAUACUUGUAUUGCAAUGCAUGAUUGGGUCCAAAAUCCCACUGCUCAUACGGCUUUAGAUGAUAUAAUGCCUUGUGUGGACAAUGCUACAGCCCAAGAAACAUUGCUGAAAAGCAGGGAAGUUACUUCCCAGCUUGUUGAAGUGAUUAACCAGGUCAUAACCAAUGUGUCGAACAUCAAUUUUUCACCAAACUUUCCAACCAUGUACUUCAAUCAAUCCGGUCCAUUGGUGCCGGUACUCUGCAAUCCUUUCUUUCCUGACCUUACAGAUCGAAUUUGCACUGCUGGUGAAGUGACUGCAGAUAAUGCAACAGAGGUAAAUUCAGUGGACCCAGCAACAUCAAUGCAUUAUUAUUAACAUGCAAACAAACUUGGUACUGAGACAGAAAGUAGGCUGCCAAGAAUUUCUAUAUGUUUUCUUUUAUUUGCAAGAUCUGGACUUAUUUUCCAGUAAGAUGUUAUCAUUUACUACAGGUAUGGAGGAACUAUGUCUGUCAGGUUUCUGCAACUGGAAUAUGCACCACAACAGGACGAUUAACUCCGGCCUUCUAUGACCAGAUGACAGCUGCAGUAAAUGUGGGCUCUGCAUUAUACAAUUAUGCUCCUUUCCUUGUUCAGCUACAAGACUGCACAUUUGCGAGGGAAACUUUUACAGGCAUUUAUGUAGAACACUGCCCUGGUCUACGGCGAUAUAGUAGAUGGAUCUAUAUAGGACUGGUAAUGGUCUCAACUGCAGUUAUGCUCUCUUUAAUCUUCUGGGUAAUAUAUGGGCGAGAGAGACGCCAUCGCCUUUAUACAAAACAGUUAAGCGAGGGUCCUGAAGCAGACAAAGACUCUUGAAAGAAGCUUUUCUUUCACUUUGUGUGCAGGAAUGGGAAUGGUUGUUUCUUUGCAGUUGUGGUCUGCAGCUUCAUUCUAUGUUGUAAGUCCUUUUCCUGUGUUCUGUCCAGAUAAAACUGUAACCAACCCACGCCAGUAAUCAAAGAAUCCAGGUCCAUAAGUGGGUUGUACCUUGUAGUGUUAAAAGACUCGCAUGAUCAGAUUGAAAGGAUUUGUUUUGGGGGAAUUUCAUCACAUGCAGACUUUGGUUAAAUUCUUUCCCUGCCAUGAUGAUCCGUUUCAUGCUUUUUUGCUACUUUCUUUUCACAACCAAAUGAAGAACUUCAAUUUCUGUUUGUUGAUCCCAUUUCAAGAACCAUGUUAACAAGGCCUUCAAUAAACAAAAUACUUACUGCGGUAAAAUAUUAAAUUAUUAAGAGUAAAUGUUUUAUAAAAUUAAUAAUACUUAAAACCUUGAAAUUCAUACAAAAGCCUUUUCAAUAAUUAAUUAAAUAUAACUCAUAAAUUUGGGAAUUCCGAAAAGCUGUGAAGGUUAAUGUUAUGUACAUAUAACUGUUUAGUGAUAACAUUUUUGAAAAUUAAUAGAAUAAAAUGAUUUUUUUAUUAGGUCAAAAAAUAGAUACAAGAAGUGUGUAUAUUUUUAAGUUUAUUAAAAAAUUGGGCUACACAGACUAAAGGCAACGUCCAAAAUGAAAACAAAACCCAGCCUGUUUUCAAUUUUCAAAGGUUUUGUCAGCGGCAGACUGACAUCGACAUGCCUUGUCUUGAUCCAAGUGUCCCUCGGGCUUGGGCUCACUCUCUACACUAAAAAGAACUUUUGGGCUCGGGGAUAUCAUACCAGUCUUAGCCUUUGAAUACAGCUUUGACAAACAACGAGUCGUUGUAGCGUAUAUAGAGAAUGCUGACCAAUCAGUUCUUGAUAAAGACGAAGAAUUCACCGUCAUUCCGCGUGGUCGACUUCAUGAAGCCACUUGUGUAACAAAGGAGCAUAUAACAAGUCAAACAAACUCCUCGUCCGAACUUAUGCCAAGUCUCCGGUAGAGAUUGAUUGAAGGUUCUCUAAUCAGCUGCCUUUGAAAUGAGCUGAUAAUCAGAAUGGUCAAGAAACGAAGAAAACCAAUGGUUUGGGUAAUAUCUUUAGCUGUACCUGUAGGCCAUCUCCUAUACUUUGUCCCUAUUGGGUGCCAACCAUAAAUUAGAUGUAUAUUUGUAUAUUACCUUUCGAGGUCCAUGUCAAAUAGGUCCAUGUAAUUAAUAUAGGGAUUGACCAUUCGAGAAUUUGAAACCAAUACCAGGAUAAUUUAUCGAUUUGAGUCACUCCAUUCAGAAAAAGCAACUUCUGUAUAAAUCAAUAUCUUCUUUCUCAGCUGCAGCAACCAAUAAAUUCUUUCAAACCAUGAAGUGGAUUUUCUGGUGCUGGCUUUCACUGGUCCUGGUACAGUUAAACGAUUGCCAGUGCUUUGGCUGCCAUGAGGAAGAGAGGCUUGCUCUUUUGAAACUCAAAACAUCUUUCUAUCCGGAUAAGAGCUAUGCUCCUCCUUCUUGGGAGGAUGAUGAUAGUGACUGUUGUGCUUGGGAAAAUGUGGUAUGUGACAAAGAAACAAAACAAGUAAGUAAGCUUUUUCUUAACAGCUCAUGGGAUCCCCUUGAAGUAUAUGAAGAUGUGAAUCUGGAUGCCACCCUUUUUCUUCCAUUUAAGGAUCUGACUUCCCUAAACUUGUCUUCAAACAUGUUUUCUGGUUUGGCUGAUAAUGAUGGUACAAGAAACUUCGUUUUUUCAGUUUAUCAUUUCAGGAUUCUAUUUUGCUGCUGUGAAAUAGGAAGGAGGUUUAAAUAUUCAUUUUUUUCGAAUUCUCUUCGUUCAACAGGCUUUGAAAGACUGUCUAAACUGAACAAGUUGAGAUUCCUUGAUUUGAGCGGGGGCUAUUUUAAUGACAGCAUCCUUGCACAUGUUGGAGCAAUCUCUUCACUUACUACUUUGUAUUUGGCUUCGAACUUAAUGACCGGAGCUACUCAUUUCCAAGGUAUGUUCAUUCUUCCAUUUUACUCUGGAUCCAGCAAUCUCUAUCUCAUGUAACUUUGCUCGUGUCAUGAUAAUUGUUCUCUGAAGAACUGGCUGCUCUGUCUAACUUGGAGGAGUUGGACUUGAGUGAGAAUUUGUUAGAAAGCUUCAUGGAGAUUCAAGGUACACCACCAAUGUUUAAUUCCAUUUUGCACUCGAUGGUUUCCUAGUCAACCUUUGGUUUAGCUGAUUUCUAUUUCAGGUCUUAAAAAAUUGAGCAAACUGAAAGUCCUGAACCUAAACUCAAAUAAGCUCAACAUGAGUACUUUACUGUCUCUCGGGAAUCUCCAUUCGCUCAAGAGGCUUUAUAUCAACCAUAAUAGCUUGGAAGGAUCCAUUACUAUUGAUGGUACGCACAACUAAAACAAAAAAAAGGGGCAGCCCGGCGCAUAAAGCGCUCCUGCUAUGCCCGGGUUCGGGGAAGGGUACGCAUGUUUUAUUAUACCUUGAUUUUUCUACCUUCCUUUCUAGGGCUCAACAGUUUGAGAAACUUGGAGGUCUUGGAUGUCUCUUCCAGUAAUAUUUGCAGCAACUUUCUUCAGGUUUUAGAGUAUAUGAUAUCCCUUAAAGGCUUAUCCUUGCGUGAUAAUAGUCUCAAUGCCACCCUGGAUUUGCUAGGUAAUUCUAGUUGUUCUUGAAAACCAAGUGCUUUAAUUGAAUUAAAUUAACAAGUAUUUAUUUUAUUAACUUUGUUUUCUAACAAUUUUGGCAGGCUUGUGCAAACUUAGGGAUCUUGAAGAGUUGGAUAUCAGUCAUAACAGUUUCAAAGGCACAAUCCCUUCCUGUGUUGAAACCUUGACAUCCCUUCGAGUUCUGGAUAUCUCUAGAAACAGGUUUUCGGGGAACAUCAGUUCAUCUUUCAUCUCUAACCUCAUUUCCCUUGAGUUUCUUUCCCUUUCUCACAAUGUAUUCCAAAGUUUGGCCCCAUUUUCCUCAAUUGCUAACCAUUCUAAGCUUGAGGUCUUUGAGCUCAUCGGUGAUAACAAUGGAUUAAUGGUUGAAAUCGAUGAUCAUAAUUGGGUUCCACGCUUCCAACUGAAGAUCUUCCGUCUUUCGGGCUGUUCAGUUGAUGAAGGAUCCAUGUUCAAAUUUCUUUCUUACCAAUAUGAUCUUAGAGUGAUUGAUCUCUCUGAUAACAACUUGGAAGGAGAUUUUCCUACUUGGUUGAUGGAGAAUAAUACAAGAAUGGUAGAACUACAUUUGAAAAAUAAUUCGUUCAAAGGCCAAUUUCCUCUUCCAUGUCGUCCUAGCACGUUCAUCUCCGUUGUUGAUAUUUCCAACAAUCAGCUUCAAGGACAUAUCCCAUCAAACAUAAGUGUCUAUCUCCCAAAUCUGAAAUUUCUGAAUCUCUCAACGAAUUCCUUCAAAGGCAGCAUUCCUUCUUCAUUCGGUGAUAUGAAAAUCUGCUCGUUUUGGACCUGUCAAACAAUGAACUCUUGGGAAACAUACCUGAUAGCUUGGUCUCUGGCUGCUUUCUUUUGCAUGCUUUAAUAUUGUCAAACAAUAAUCUUAGCGGCCGAAUGUUUCCAAAGUUUUCUAAUCUGACCAGCUUAGAAAUUCUGCAUUUGAAUGGGAAUCUCUUUCCUGGAGAAAUCCCAGAUAGUUUGUUCAACAGCUCAUACUUGAAGAGUCUAGAUGUUAGUUAUAACUCCUUAUCAGGUAAGCUGCCAACUUGGAUGGGAAAUUUGACUUAUCUGCAAACACUUUUGAUGGCCGGUAAUCAUCUUGAAGGACCGAUUCCCAUUGAGUUUUGUUCACAUGAGAACAUUGAAAUUCUUGAUCUUUCGCAAAACAAUCUCUCAGGCUCUAUCCCAUCUUGCUUUAGCCCAAUAUCCCUUCUUCAUGUAUACCUGCAUGACAACAAGUUCACAGGACCAAUAACAAAAUCCUUCUCUCAAAGCUCAUCUUUGGUGACUCUAGACAUCAGAAACAACUACUUGACUGGAGGUAUUCCCAGUUGGAUUUCCAAUCUCAGUUUGAGCAUUCUUCUUCUGAAAGAAAACCAGUUGGAAGGAAGAAUACCUGCUGAGUUGUGUCAGUCGUCCUUGAUGACUAUACUAGAUCUUUCUCACAACAAUCUCUCAGGUUCUAUUCCUUCUUGCUUGAACAAGAUACCAUUCAAAAUAGGGUUUCGUUCUGGAAAAUUUCGUUUACCUGUUUUUCUGGAUAUUGAUCUACAGUUGUCAGCGUAUUCAUAUCAAAGCAGCUAUAUAGAGUUACUUCAAAUACCUUCUUAUGCUAAACCUGUAAAUUAUGAAAUAACCUCCGUUGAGUUCACAACCAAGAACAGGUCUAACUUCUACAUGAACAACUUUUUAUACAACAUGACUGGAAUUGAUCUGUCUUGGAACAAAUUGACAGGCAGAAUACCACCCGAAAUGGGGGAGCUAAAGCGAAUCCGUUCGCUAAAUCUUUCACAUAAUGAGCUGAGUGGUUCAAUUCCAACAACCUUUUCGGGCCUAAAGUACAUAGAAAGCUUGGACCUUUCUCACAACAAGUUGACAGGAGCAAUUCCUCAACAGCUUACUGAACUGACUGUGCUGGGAUAUUUCUCUGUUGCUUACAACAAUUUAUCUGGUAAAAUACCUGAUAAAGCGCAGUUUGGUACUUUCGUGGACAAUAGCUAUGAGGGAAAUCCUUUUCUUUGCGGGUCAAUAUUGAAGAAAGACUGUAACUCAACUCUGGAAGAGUCACAGGGGGGACACGAGGAGGGAGAGAACAGCUUUAUGGAGAUGCUGGCUUUUUACUUAAGUUUUCUUAUGGCUUAUGCAAUAAUGGUGGUGGUACUUAUUGCUACUCUUUACAUCAACAUGGAUUGGAGAAACAAGUGGUUUCAUCUAGUUGAUGCUUGUAUCAAUACUUGUCUUUGUAAGUUGACCAAUCAAAAUGAUUAGAAUUUCAUCAUUGUUUAAAAGAAAAUGCCGAGGGAAGCCGAAGGCAUGUACCUAUGUACUAGCAAAACACAAAGCCGAAUGGGUAAAAUCCCAUGAUAUUAAACUUUUGGUGAUUGAAGCAUAAUUGGACACUAAACUUCUAUUUUUUUCUUGUUAAAAACAAGGUAGAAAUUGUAGAGAAGCAAAGAAGUAAGCGUAUGUCAGAGAUUGUCAUCGAAAUCAACUCAAAUUUAUAUUUGUAAAAAGGUUUUUUUGUUGUGUUGAGAAAGUGUUGUAUACAAGUAAAAUAGGAUGUGUUGUGAGAUAACGGAGAAAAUGAUUGGAGUAAACUUUAAAGUAUUGACUGCAGCUAUGGGUGAUGAUAUUUGAUAAAUAAAAGCUGAGUAGAGAAGAGAAUGAGAUUAAAAAAAUGAUUUGGAAAGAGUAAAUUACAGAGGGAACUGAAUAAAUUUGUUAAAAGUUUUUAAAAGUCUUAUGAAUCAUUUAAAUUCUUAUUUAUAGGUUUCAAAAAUAAGAGUUAUAUAUUUUGAGUAUUAAAUGAGAAUAAUAAUAAACAAUGAGAUAAUUAAUUAUUACAAAAUAUAUUAAUAUAUUGUUUAAUGAAAGUGUAAUUAAUUUUUUUGUGAUACACAUAAUGAAUAUAAAAAUUCACUAUUUUUUUUUUUGAAAGAAAGGAAAAAGCAUUUAAGAAAAAGUUAAGAUGAAACUUUUUAAUUAUCUUCGUAUUUAAUCCACUAAAUUAAACUUUCUAAAAUAUUUUAAUAACGAGAUUAAUCCAAAAAUUUUAUUAUAUUUUGAGGUUAUUUUCACUCAUUUAUUUGAUGAAGUGUUUUUUGUGAAGUAAAAAAUAAUUUUUAGUAAAAGAGUUUUUGAUGAAUAAUUAUUUCGUAAAAUAAUAUUUAUUAAAAUAAUUUUAUUAUAUUUUUUAAUUUAUUUUCAAUUUUAAUAACUCUAAAACAAUAUAUAAAAAUAAAAUAUUAAUAAUCAAAAUCAAAUAUCUUCAAUAUUUAAUUGAAAUUCAACUGAAAUUUAAAACCAUAGAUUACAAAUGAAAUCACCAUUCACCAGCCAUUAGAUGCAUUUAAAUGCUCGCAUUUGAAUUUAGGAAAAACAGUUCAUUAAUUACAAAUUUUUUUAAAAUAGUAAUUUAAUUAUUUUUAAUCAAUGUUUAUAAACACUUGUUAAUCAGAUACACAUUCCAUGACAUAACACUGGCUAGGAGAAUGCAGAUUAACAGAGAUAUUAUUGAUGACAUAUGAUGACCAGUCCAUCCAGGAAAUUCCAUUUUGUAAGUUGCAGAUUGGUGGGCUUGGUUGUAAAGGAAACAAUAAAAUGUUAAAUUCCAUAUUUUCCCCCACUUUCCAAAGAAAGUGACAUCACGCCAACGCAACGGCAUGACAUAAUUGCACGGUCCAUUGAACGUGCUUAAAUGGAAAGUGGCUUUACCAUUUCCCCCACAAAACGUUGAACCGACAACUAAACCCCGAUAGAGAAAGAAAAAACAAAGAAAAAUGAUAAUAAUUGCAGAAAUGAAAAAAAAAUAAAAAAUUUAUUUCAUUUCAUUUCGUCACGCCCAUCGGCGUUUAAUAACAGUCCUUUCUUUUAUUCCGCUUCGAAAUUAGCGUUAAUUUCCUAAAAAUUAUUAUUAUUAUCAGAUUGUUUUUCUUUGCUAAUCUUUUUUUGUUUGAUUGCUAACAAAAUUUUACAAGGAAAUAAUACAAAACCACAAAGUUUCAGCAACAUACACAACGUUACUAAGCAAUGGGGCCUGAAAAGAGAAUGGAUGUCUGUCAUUUUGUUACUUAUUUUGACAUUUAUUUUCAGGGAAAGUAAAUGGAAGUGAGGCAAAGUAUGUGGUGGAGUUUUCAUGGGGGAUUACUAGGAGGUCUGUCGUGGAGGGGCAGAUUGGUGAACCUGUGCCUGUGGAGAUCGGUACUUCAUCCCUAGUUUCGGCUGCUAAGAGGACUUACAGAAAGGACCCUCUUAAUGGGUUCAAGAGAUACUCAGGAGGAUGGAAUAGCGGGGAGCGCUAAUACUAGGUUAUAAGCUUACCUUAACCCAAGAGCCGAGAUGACCCAUUUUUGAUGAGUUUUUUUUUUUUUUUUAGUUUUCUCUUUUCGGACAUGAUCGUGCCAUCUACUCAUGUCCAGUUAUUUACCACUUGCCAGGAUAGGAUUACUCUUGGACCCUUGGCCCUGGUUCAAACUUUCAAUGCUGGCACGUGGGUGAUUUUACAUUUGCAUCCUUCAGAAUUUGUGAUUUUGGCACGUGAGGGUAUAAUUACUAGUCAAACAUUCUGGUUAAGGUCCCCCAUGCCCACCAUACACCCUCCUUUUUCUUUAGUUGUAUUUUUGUGGCAAAAUGGUAGUGAAAUUAGAGAGUGGAUAUUGAAAAUAUAGUUUCCAAUUGCAGUCCAGAGGAGAUAAUUUAUUUCUGUAGAUAUGUAUAGAGUUUUUUUUUUUUUUUUUUUGUUUGGCCGGAAAAAAAGAAUGGAUAUGUUUAGCAUAACAUGGAUGAUACUAACUUUUUCUUUCUAAUCUAAUACACAAUCAUAGCAGUAGUCCAAUACCUACAUUUAUGUUUGCAGAAAUGCUGAGCUGGUGCUAGAAAUAGUAUGCCAUUAGCCCAUUACUGCAGCAAUUUCCUUUUGGAGUAAUUUUUCCAUGCAUUUUUCAUUUAUGCAGUAGAUAUUGAAGCAAAUAGGAUUGAGACAUGGUUCAAGCUUUGCGGAACAAGGCAGGUCCUUGAUGCUGGAUGAUGUGAAGUUAAGAAUGUGACUUUGUAAACAAGUUGAUUGAUUCUUAGGUAUACCAUAUCUGUCUUCCCUUGUGGAAGCUGGCGAAUCAUAGAUGAACAUGAUAUCUACCAAAAAGUUUGGUCCUUUCACACUACAAAAUUUUUCUUUGUACUUUGAUUUAGCUCUAGUGUUGCACUAAGGUGUUUUUUUUUUUUUUUUUUUUUUCGAAUAUUUUCAUUUGCGUACCCUUUUAUCCAUUUUCGUGUCCUAAUGCACGUUGGAUUAAUAUGUAUUGGAUAUAUUAGCAGCUUAGUCAGUAUCAGUUUAAGAUUAUGUCCUAACUAACUCAGUUCCAAUUUAUGUUUAAAUGCAGUCCGUGGCUUUUACUGCCACUUUCUCUGUUUGCAAUUGCUGAAUCUGGUUUGGUUGGCUUUGGUAUGCUUAUUGCUCAUCUUCUCUGUUAUUUCUGUUGUAAAAGGCAGCCACAUGAUCUUCUCGAAUUGCUUAUGCAAUCUCUCUCAUUUUCCUGGUGUUGUUCCCAGUUGCUGCAAUGUAAAUGCAUCUUUCUCUCGUGUCAUAUUCAUAUUGAAUAUUGAUAUGUGUCAUGAUAGUUCCUAAAUCCUAAUGCUUUGCUCUUUGGUUUUAGGCUUGGCUGCUUUGUCCUAUAUGUUGGCCAGGGGAGGUUUCAUAAAAGCACUACAAAAACAUUAGCAUGUGUUGUAAAUCAGGCAGUUAUGAGUAUCAGGAAACUAAAGGAUGUGUCGGACUCUCUUGCGACAGCUAAGUAGAUCGGAGUUGAUAAAAAUUUUUCUACCUUCUUAUGUCCAAACUGAUAUUGAUGAGAUAGGAGCAAAAAUUAAUUCUUCUGGAAGCACUCUAGCCGACAAAACAGUGGAUAAUUCAGAUGAGAUCUCCUAGAUUCUGUGUAAGUGAAGGAUUCUGAAGUUUACCUAUAUGUUUUAGUGCUUCCAAGAAAAGCUUUCAUUAAAGCUGUAUUUCAAUGCUGCUACAGGAGAGUGGCUCUUAUUGCAAUAGCCGCUAUUAUGCUUCUAUUGACAUUUCUUGGAUUCUGCAAGUCCCUGUGGUUUCUUUAGUAAGAAUUCGCGAAAGUUCGUUUUUUCAGAAUUUAGAAAGUUUGUGACUUCAUUUAUUUAUACAAUCUAAUUUUGUUUAAGUAUUCUCAAUUUUUGGGAUGCAGCUUCUUGUUUACAUGUGAGUAGGAUGGAAUUUCAUUCUCCAAUUUUUUCUCUGAUUUUGUUUGGAUUCAAACGAGGAUCUUUCUUAACAGAAGGGUUUAAAACUAUAUCUGUUUCAGUCUGGUGAUACUAGGAUGGAUGCUUGUCACUGGAACAUUCCUUGUUCUCCAUAAGUAAGUUUUAGCAUAGCUCAACCUAUAUCUCUACAUCUUACUGCUUCUAAUUUUACAUCCUAAUUGAUGUUUUGUUUUUGAUGUGCGAGUGCGGCUGCAGAUACUUGUGUUGCAAUGCAUGAUUGAAUCCAAAAUCCCACUGCUCAUGCGGCUUUAGAUGAUAUACUGCCUUGCGUGGACAAUGCUACAGCCCAAGAAACAUUGUUGAAAAGCAGGGAAGUUACCUCUCAGCUUGUUGAAGUUAUUAACCAGGUCAUAACCAACGUGUCAAACAUUAAUUUUUCACCUAACUUUCCGACCAUGUACUUCAAUCAAUCCGUUCCAUUGGUGCCGGUACUCUGCAAUUCUUUAUUUCCUGACCUUACAGAUCGAAUUUGCACUGCCGGUGAAGUGAAUGCAGAUAAUGCAACAUAUGUAAAUUCAUUGGACCCAGCAACAUCAAUGCAUUAUUAUUAACAAGCAAACAAACUUGAACUGAGAUAGAAAGUAGGCUGCCAAGAAUUUCUAUAUGUUUUCUUUUGGUUGCAAGAUCUGGACUUAUUUUCCAGUAAGAUAUUAUCAUUUACUACAGGUAUGAAGGAACUAUGUCUGUCAGGUUUCUGCAACUGGAAUAUGCACCACAACAGGACGAUUAACUCCAGCCUUCUAUGACCAGAUGACAGCUGUGGUAAAUGUGGGUUCUGCAUUAUAAAAUUAUGCUCCUUUCGUUGUUCAGCUUCAAGACUGCACAUUUGUGAGGGAAACUUUUACAGGCAUUUAUGUAGAACACCGCCCUGGUCUACGGCGAUAUAGUAGAUGGAUCUAUACAGGGCUGGCAAUGGUCUCAACUGCACUUAUGCUCCCUUUAAUCUUCUGGGUAAUAUAUGGGCGAGAGAGACGCCGUCGCCUUUAUACAAAACAGUUAAGUGAGGCUCCUGAAGCAGACAGAGACUCUUGAGAGAAGCUUUUCUUUCACUUUUUGUGCGGGAAUGGGAAUGGUUGUUUCUUUGCAGUUGUGGUCCGCAGCUUCACUCUAUGUUGCAGGUCCUUUAGUGUGGUUUGUCCAUAUAAAACUGUAACCAAUCCACGCCAGUAAUCAAAGAAUCCAGGUCCAUAAGUGGGUUGUACCUUGUAGUGCUAAAAGACUCGCAUGAUCAGAUUGAAAGGAUUUGUUUCGGGGAAAUUUCAUUACAUGUAGACUUGGGUUAAAUUCCUUCCAUGCCAUGAUGAUUCGUUUCAUGUUUUUUGAUAUUUUCUUUCCACAACCAAAUGAAGGGGAACUUCAAUUUCUGUUUGUUGAUCCCAUUUCAAGAACCAUGUUAAUAAGGCCUUCAAUACACAAAUUUUCCUAUACUUACCGCACUAAAAUAUUAAAUUAUUAAGAGUAAAUGUUUUAUAAAAUUAAUAAAACUUAACUCAUAAAUUUGAGGAUUCCGAAAAGCUACGAAAGAUAAUGUUAUGUACAUAUAACUGUUUAUUCAUGAGCACUUUUGAAAAAUAAUAGAAUUAGAUGGUUUUUUUAUUAGGUUAAAAAAUUUAUACAAGAAGUGUGUAUAUUUUUAUGUUUAUAUAACCUUUUCCAUAAAUAAAUGUUUUUGAGCAAAAUGACCGAGCAUGUCAAUCCCAUUGACUUAUUGCUACGGCCGACAAAUAAUAGGGGCUUAAAUUUAUUCUAAAAUUGGGCUGCACAGACUAAAAGCACCGUCUAAAAUGAAAACAAAACCCAGCCUGUAUUCAAUAUUCAAAGGUUUUGUCAGUUAGAGAAUAACUUCGACAUGCCUUGUCUUGGUCCAAGUGUCCAUCGCGCUUCGGCUCACCCUCUACAGUAAAAAAACUUCUGGGCUCCGUGAUAUCAUUCCAGUCUAAGCCCUUGAAUAUAGCUUUGAUAAAUUGCGACUCGUUCCAUACAGAAAAUGCUGACCAAUCAGUUCUUGAUAAAGACGAAGAAUUCACCGUCAUUCCGCGUGGUCGACUUAGUGAAGCCACUUGUGUAAUAAAGGAGCAUAUAAUAAGUCAAACAAACUCCUCGUCUGAACAAAUGCGAUGUCUCUGCUAGAGAUUGACUGAGGAUUCUCUAAUCAGCAGCCUUUGCAAUGAGCUGAUAAUCAUGAUGGUCAAGAAAUGGAGUAAACCAAUGGUUUGGGUAAUCUCUUUCGCUUGUAGACCAUCUCCUAUGCACUGUCCCCAUUGGUGCCUGCUAUUAUUAUAUAUAAAUUAGAACGUAACCUUUCCAUUUCCAUCUCAAAUAGGUCCAUGUAAUUAAUAUAGGGAUGGACCAUUCGAGAAUUUGUCGAUUUGAGGCACUCGAUUGACUAAUCCAAAGGUCCGCAAAAGCAACUUCUAUAUAUAUCAAUAUCUUCUUUCUCAGCUGCAGCAACCAAUAGAUUCUUUCAAACCAUGAAGUGGAUUUUCUGGUGCUGGCUUUCUUUGGUCCUGGUACAGUUAAACGAUUACCAAUGCUUUGGUUGCCAUGAGGAAGAGAGGCUUGCUCUUUUGAAACUCAAAACAUCUUUCUAUCCGGACGAGAGCUAUGCUCCUCCAUCUUGGGAGGAUAAUGAUAGUGACUGUUGUGGUUGGGAAAACGUGGUGUGUGACAAAGAAACGAAACAAGUAAGUAAGCUUUUUCUUAACAGCUCAUGGGAUCCCCUUGAAGUAUAUGAAGAUGUGUAUCUGGAUGCCACCCUUUUUCUUCCAUUUAAGGAUCUGACUUCCCUAAACUUGUCUUCAAACAUGUUUUCUGGUUUGGCUGAUAAUGAUGGUACUAGAAACUUCUUUUUUUCAGUUUAUCAUUUCAGGAUUCUGUUUUUCUGCUGUGAAAUAGGAAGGAAGUUUAAAUAUUCAUUUUUUUCGAAUUCUCUUCGUUCAACAGGCUUUGAAAGAUUGUCUAAACUGAACAAGUUGAGAUUCCUUGAUUUGAGCGGGGGCAACUUUAAUGACAGCAUCUUUGCACAUGUUGGAGCAAUCUCUUCACUUACUACUUUGUAUUUGGCUUCGAACUUAAUGACCGGAGCGACUCAUUUCCAAGGUAUGUUCAUUCUUCCAUUUUACUUUGGACCCAAGAAUCUCUAUCUCAUGUAACUUUGCUCGUGUCAUGAUAUUGUUCUCUGAAGAACUGCCUGCUCUGUCUAACUUGGAGGAGUUGGACUUGAGUGAGAAUUUGUUAGAAAGCUUCAUGGAGAUUCAAGGUACACCACCAAUGUUUAAUUACAUUUUGCACUCGAUGGUUUCCUAGUCGACCUCUGGUUUAGCUGAUUUCUAUUUCAGGUCUUAAAAAAUUGAGCAAACUGAAAGUCCUGAACCUAAACUCAAAUAAGCUCAACAUGAGUACUUUACUGUCUCUCGGGAAUCUCCAUUCGCUCAAGAGGCUUUAUAUCAACGAUAAUAGCUUGGAAGGAUCCAUUGCUAUUGAAGGUACGCACAACUAAAAAAAAAUAAGGGCAGCCCGGUGGAUAAAGCACUCCGGCUAUCUGCGAGUUCGGGGAAGGGUCUAUUGUACGCAUGUUUUAUCAUACCUUGAUUUUUCUACCUUCCUUCCUUUCUAGGACUUAACAGUUUGAGAAACUUGGAGGUCUUGGAUGUCUCUUCCAGUAAUAUUAGCAGCAACUUUCUUCAGGUUUUAGACUACAUGAUAUCCCUUAAAGGCUUAUCCUUGCGUGAUAAUAGUCUCAAUGGCACCACGGAUUUGCUUGGUAAUUUUAGUUGUACUUGAAACCAAGUGUUUUAAUUGAAUUAAAUUAACAAGUAUUUAUUGUAUUAACUUUGUUUUCUAACAAUUUUGGCAGGCUUGUGCAAACUUAGGGAUCUUGAAGAGUUGGAUCUCAGUCAUAACAGUUUCAAAGGCACAAUCCCUUCCUGUGUUGAAACCUUGACAUCCCUUCGAGUUCUGGAUAUCUCUAGAAACAGGUUUUCGGGGAACAUCAGUUCAUCUUUCAUCUCUAGCCUCAUUUCCCUUGAGUUUCUUUCCCUUUCUCACAAUGUAUUCCAAAGUUUGGCCCCAUUUUCCUCAUUUGCUAACCAUUCUAAGCUUGAGGUCUUUGAGCUUAUCGGUAAUAACAAUGGGUUAAUGGUUGAAAUCGAUGAUCAUAAUUGGGUUCCACGCUUCCAACUGAAGAUCUUCCGUCUUUCAGGCUGUUCAGUUGAUGAAGGAUCCAUGUUCAAAUUUCUUUCUUACCAAUAUGAUCUUAGAGUGAUUGAUCUCUCUGAUAACAACUUGGAAGGAGAUUUCCCUAAUUGGUUGAUGGAGAAUAAUACAAGAAUGGUAGAGCUAUAUUUGAAAAAUAAUUCUUUCAAAGGCCAAUUUCCUCUUCCAUCUCGUCCUAGCACAUUCAUCUCCGUUGUUGAUAUUUCCAGCAAUCAGCUUCAAGGACAUAUCCCAUCCACCAUAAGUGUCUAUCUCCCAAAUCUGAAAUAUCUGAAUCUCUCAACGAAUUCCUUCAAAGGUAGCAUUCCUUCUUCAUUCGGUGAUAUGAAAAAUCUGCUCGUUUUGGACCUGUCAAACAAUGAACUCUUGGGAGGCAUACCUGAUAGCUUGGUCUCUGGCUGCAUUCUUUUGCAUGCUCUAAUAUUGUCAAACAAUAAUCUUAGUGGCGAAAUGUUUCCAAAGUUUUCUAAUCUAACCAGCUUAGAAAUACUGCGUUUGAAUGGGAAUCUCUUUCUUGGAGAAAUCCCAGAGAGUUUGCUCAACAGCUCAUACUUGAAGAGUCUAGAUGUUAGUUAUAACUCCUUAUCAAGUAAGCUGCCAACUUGGAUGGGAAAUUUGACUUAUCUGCAAACACUUUUGAUGGCCGGCAAUCAUCUUGAAGGACCGAUUCCCACUGAGUUUUGUUCAUAUGAGAACAUUGAAAUUCUUGAUCUUUCGCAAAACAAUCUCUCAGGCUCUAUCCCUUCUUGCUUUAGCCCAAUAUCCCUUCUCCAGGUAUACCUGCAUGACAACAAGUUCACAGGACCAAUAACAAAAUCCUUCUCUCAAAGCUCACUUUUGGUGACUUUAGACCUCAGAAACAACUACUUGACCGGAGGUAUUCCCAGUUGGAUUUCCAAUCUCAGUUUGAGCAUUCUUCUUCUGAAAGAAAACCAGUUGGAAGGAAGAAUCCCUGUUGAGUUGUGUCAGUCAUCCUUGAUGACUAUGCUAGAUCUUUCUCACAACAAUCUCUCAGGUCCUAUUCCUUCUUGCUUGAACAAGAUACCAUUCAAAAUAGGGUUUCGUUCGGGAAAAUUUCGUAUAGCUGUUUCUCUGGAUGGUGAUCUACAGUUGUCAGCCUAUUCAUAUCAAGGCAGCUAUAUAGAGUUACUUCAAAUACCUUCCUAUGCUAAACCUGCAUAUUAUGAAAUAUCCUCUGUUGAGUUCACAACCAAGAACAGGUCUGACUUCUACAGGAACAACUUUUUAUACAACAUGACUGGAAUUGAUCUCUCCUGGAACAAAUUGACAGGCAGAAUACCACCUGAAAUAGGGGAGCUAAAGCUAAUCCGUGCACUAGAUCUUUCACAUAAUGAAUUGAAUGGUUCAAUUCCAACAACCUUUUCGGGCCUAAAGAACAUAGAAAGCUUGGACCUUUCUCACAACAAGUUGACAGGAGCAAUUCCUCAACAGCUUACUGAGCUGACUGCGCUGGGAUAUUUCUCUGUUGCUUACAACAAUUUAUCUGGUAAAAUACCUGAUAAAGCGCAGUUUGGUGCUUUCGUGGAAAAUAGCUAUGAGGGAAAUUCUUUUCUUUGCGGGCCAACGUUGAAGAAAGACUGUAACCCAACUCCGGAACAAUCACCUGCGGGUCAUGAGGAGGGAGAGAACAGCUUUAUGGAGAUGCUGGCUUUUUACUUGAGUUUUCUUGUGGCUUACGUAACAGUGGUGGUGGUACUUACUGCUACUCUUUACAUCAACAUGGAUUGGAGAAACAAGUGGUUUCAUCUAGUUGAUGCCUGUAUCACUACUUGUCUUUGUAAGUUGACCAAUCAAAAUGAUUAGAAUUUCAUCAUUGUUUGAAAUAAAAUGCAGAGGGAAGCUGAAGGCAUGCAACAAUGUUCCAGCAAAUCACAGAGCCAAAUGAGUAAAAUCCCAUGAUAAAAAACUUUUGGUGAUUGAAGCAUAAUUAGAUACUAAACUUACAUUUUUUUUCUUGUUAAAAACAAGAGAGAAUUUUUAGAGAAGCAAAGAAGUAAGGGUAUGUCAGAGAUUGUCAUCCAAAUCAACUCAAACUUAUAUUUGUAAAAAGGUUUUUUUGUUGAGGUGAGAAAGUGUCGUAAACAAGUAAAGUAUGAUGUGUUGGGAGAUAACGGAGAAAAAUAUUAGAACAAACUUUAAAGUAUUAAUUACAGGAAUAGAGGGUGAUAGCUGGUAAAUGAAGGAUGGUAGAGAAGAAAAUGAGAUUGAAAAAAUGAUUUAGAAAGAGAAUAUGUGUUAUAUAUUGAGUGUUGAACGAGAAUAAUGAUAAAUAAUGAAAGAAUUGAUUGUGACAAAAGAUAUUGAUAUAUUGUUUAAUGAAAGUGUAAUUUACUUUUUUAUGAUAGACAUAAUAUUAUAAAAGUUUACUAUUUUUUUGAAAGAAAGGAAAAAACACUUAGGAAAAGGUUAAGAUGAAACUUCUUAACUAUCUUUUUAUUUAAUUCAUUAACUUAAAUUUUUAAAAAUAUUUUAAUAAUAGAAUUAAUCCAAAAAUUGUUAUCAUAUUUUAGGGUUAUUUUCACUUAUUCAUUUGAUGAAGUGUUUUUUGUU